UACGAGGUAGGUAGGGUAAGGUCUGCAUACACUCUACCCUCCUUAGACCCCACCUGUGGAAUGGGUAUGUUUUUUGUUGUUGUUUUAAGAGGAGAAGUUGUAGAAUUGUUGGUAGAACCCUAUCACAAAUGUAGUUUCGAUGCUAGUUACGUAAAUAAACCUAACCAUGGACCUGUAUUCCAGUCUUAUAUCUAUUCUGAUCAGUAUUCCCAUCAUUCCAUUGAUCAGAAGGUAUCUCAAUUGACCCUUGUUACUGCUGUAAGGUGCAGUAAUAGGUAGGGCCGUAGGGAUGACAGUAUUUGAAUGUGUGACAUUUUGUACCCAAUACUAAUGUGCUACCUAGCUGUUGCACAUCCCUUCAAUUGUUCCAUGUCACCACUUUGAAAUCUUCUCUUGAUGGUUUCAUCUUUUUUAACCAAAUUGGACUUGUAGGACCCUUAGUAAAUUGUGAUUGCUAAGUUGCUUGCUGCUUGUUCCAUAAUAAUAGAACAUCUUGCAAAUUAAGGAGUUCUCGCGAAAAGAACAUGUCUGCAUUUGUUAAAUCCAAAUUGUCGGGCUGCCCUUGUUCUUGAAGUACUUGUGGAGAAAAACCAAGGCCUCUAUAUCUAUCAUGCUAACACUACAUAUGUGACUGUCUUAUCUUUCUUGUUGGUUGUGUUAGGCAUGGAGCUAUAUGUGUGACCAUGUACAACUUUGGAUCUCCAAGAGUUGGAAACAAAAAAUUUUCUGAAGUUUAUAAUGAGGUAUUGUUUACUCUCUGCAGAAGUGAAGUGCUUAUGUUGAGACUAACUAUAUUCUAUAUUGCCAUUAUGGUCUCGCCAUUCGUUUAUGACAAUCUUUUGCAGUUAUAAAUUAAAGCGGUCUUUACUUCUGAAACAAGUUAAUGAAAGAAAAACAAAAAACAAGAACCAAGAAAAGAAAGGAAAAAUUGACACACUAAUAAAUAUACACAAGCUGGUUCACAUACUCAGCCUUGCGCCCUUGCCUAAUUAUCCCUCCUCAGUAACAAUGGAUGAAAAUGAUUUUUGAUGUUCUCUCUCGACUCUCGGUCUCUCUUAUGGAGGUGGCUUGUAAUAUUUGAAGUGUGAAACUCUUGGGGUUUCAGAACAUGCUAUUGAAUAAGCAUUGGUGCGUUGUCCAACAUGUCAGACCAACUUUUAGCAAGUUUGAGCCAUAAUCAGAUGCCUUGUCACAUUGUUUGCCGAUAGUUCAUGAGAAUGUCUUGCCUGUUCUUUUAAUGUAACAUGGUGAACUGCUGUAACACAUUGUUUAGCUCUUUAAGAAAAGUGACCUUACAAAAUCACUUUCGCUUGCUUUGGAAUCGUACUGAGAGUUUAAUUUUGUUAAAUAUUGAGCGACUCUAUAUAACUUAGUUGCUUCUUAUAUUUUAGAAAGUUAAAGACAGCUGGAGGGUUGUAAAUCACAGAGAUAUAAUACCAACAGUUCCUCGCUUGAUGGGCUACUGCCAUGUUGCUCAACCCGUUUAUUUGGCAGCUGGAGAUCCGAAAAACACAAUGGUGAGUAGAUUUCAUUUUCAAACUUUUUACACUAUACAACGUUGGAUUGGUAGAAUUUUGGCACUGGUAAGGAAGUUUUGUUUUACUGUUAGAGCUUAAAGUGGAAAAAUGUGUCGGAUGGUUAGCUUAAUCUGAUGAAAAUUGCAGAAGGUUCAAAACAAUUGACCUUUGUUAUAUGUUCUAUAGAAUUAUUUACUCAAUUGCUCGAAAUAACUUUUUGAGAUUUUCUUCUUUGUUAAGGUAGGAAGUAUCGAGAAGGUCUGUCAUUUUUACUUAUUGUGUAUGGAAACCUACUAUCCCUCCCUGGAAAAAGUCAGAAAGAAAGUAUGAUCAUAUUUGACAUCAUUCCUUUUAUCGUUGAAAGGAGCUUGUUACUUAACUAAAUAUGUCUCGGGACAUUACAUUUCAGGAUAAUAUGGAACUCUUGGAAGAUGGUUACCAAGGUGAUGUUAUCGGAGAGGCCACCCCUGAUGUUAUUGUCAGUGAAUUUGUAUGUUUCUCCACCUUUGUUCUCCCGUGUCUUUAUUUCCUUCUUUUUCCGUUUUGUGUUCCAUUUCAGCCAUUAAUGAUAUGUUCUAUUAAGCUCUUGAACUGUUAAAAUUGUACUGCUACUUACCAUACAUUUGAUCACUUGAGACUUCUGUUUAUUCAUUUUGUUCAAUACUUAGCGUAAUGGAGGGUGUCCUUGAGCAUAAUGUCACGGACUUAGAGUUUUUGCUAAAGCUCCGUGUGGUGCUUGACAGCUUACUCACUACCCUUUCAAGAUCUUGCAAGCUCAAGCAAGCCUUUAAGAUUAAGAUCGCUAAGAGAAUGAAAGGAAAGACUUAGAAAGAACAAGAGAGCUUUGGAAAAAGGCUUUUUGUAUUGCUUUGGAAGAUUGCUUACAAUUUGAGUGAUGCCUUGCAAAUGAAUGGCACCUCUAUUUAUACUACCAUCUAAGGACUAAAGUGUAAAUUAAAAUUACUUUACAAGUCCCUAAGAUAUUUACACAUUGGUCCCUUUCUAGAGAAUUCUACAUUAUCUAGGACCUUCAGUAGCCUUCUUGAGAAAUCUAAAGGAUUCUAGAGUUCUCCACUAGCCUCUCCUCAACUCUAGAAUCUUCCGCCCCUAUCCGGAUGCGGAAUUUGACUGGCAAAGUGGCGGGACGUCACAAUAAGCUUAUCAAUUCACUCCAUUAGUUUCGAGUCAACAGGAAGCUAUGUUGCUCGGAGCCUUGUGUCGGAUCCUUCAAAAGCUAUGCAUUUUUGGAGGAUCCGACACAGGUUUGGCAACAUUUUUGGGAGGUCCGAGCAACAAUUGGGGGAGGGGAGCUUAUUCUGAGUUAUUUUUGCUAUAUGGAAAUUAUUUCCUUUUUAUUUAAAGGUAAAUAACUCUUGAGAAGCUCACAAUUACUUAUCGUAAUGUUUUGUGCAGAUGAAAGGUGAAAAAGAACUUAUUGAGAAAAUACUGAACACGGAGAUUAACAUAUUUCUAGCAAUCAGAGAUGGCAGUGCACUUAUGCAGCACAUGGAAGACUUCUAUUACAUCACUCUGUUAGAGGUACUUGCAUUUUCCAUUCACAUCUUACCAUUCUGAACUAUGUUGCUCGAACUCUUCAAAAAUGUCGACAAGUGCAUGUCAGAUCCGCCAAAAGUAGUGCACUUUUGAGAAUCCGACAUGUGUGCUGCAACAUUUUUGAAGAGUUCGAGUAACAUACAUAUGCAACAUGAUAUGUACUUACUUUUUUUAUGCUUUCUAAUUCUUUUUCUAGAAUGUGAGAUCAAACUAUAGAACUGUUCCAAGGCCACAGCUGACAGAAGAGAAGAACAUAUCAAUUGGCUAAAUUGGAAAUUAUCAAAAUUCACCAAUGUUGAUAUUUUAUUUCCAAAGGUUGUAAAUAACAAUAACACCAAAAAAAAAUUGGCUACAUUUAUUGUAUAUAUGUAUGAUUUUUAUUUAUGCAAUUGUACAUUGUUUGGUUAUUUUUGUUAAUUGUUACAAAAUUAAAAAAAUGAUAGAAUAAUGAAAACAAGUAAUUGUUUUAAAAUAAUUGCCUUGAACUAAAAAUAGGAUUUUUUUUUACAAACUACAAAGAAAUGGCAUGAAAGAAACAUAAGGACUUCCACCAGUUCUAUAUUUUACUAACCAAGAGUAUCAUUACUACCUAGAUCUUUGACUAAUAGAUAAAAUCAUUCUUCCUUUAAUCAGAGGUCUCGAGAUUUAAACUAUGAGUAUAGUGAAUAUCUCGAUAAGGAGUUCUAAUUUCACUUUAUGUUGAAUCGCGUUCCAAUACAGAUAUUGAACAUUGGGUAGAAAAAAACUAGUACUACCUUUUACAUAUGCAAGCUUUUUGAAAGAUUCUUAGAAAAGUUUGUUGCUUUCAUAUUAUAGCUCAUGAUUUUCAAACUUUGCCUUAAAAUGUCUACUUCCCUUUCUCUCUUGAGUUCUUGUUGUUCCUUUGAAGCUAUUUGCUCUUUUAGAAGUGCAAUUUUUUUCCUCUUUUUCUUUCAACUCUCUAUGCAUCUCCUCUAAUAAUUCCAUUUGUUCUGUUUUCCAACAUAGUCCUCUUCCUAGUCAAGCAAAUCAAACACAUUAGAAGGACAAAAAAACCGACUUUCUGACAUAACAACUGUUUGUUGAGUGACUAUCUGAUGAAAUUUAAACAUACCUUGAUUUGUCCUAUGAAUAAGGUCAUCAUCUUGAUAGCAAAAUAAAGUUGCUUCCAUUUCUCAAUUGCUUCAUCUCUCCUAGCUUCUUCAUUCCUAAUUUGCUCUAACAAAUAACUUGUUGCUAAUUGAUGCCACUCUUUAUCUUCUUUUACACUCAAAUUCUCUAUUCCUUCACACUUCUCUUCUUCUUUUUCUUCCAAUUUGAGAGAAGUGGGUUUUGGGGAAAUAUUUGGGUGUUUGAGUUUAUGACUUGAAAACAUCAAUAUAUAUACUUCCCCUAAAAAUAUCCAAAACACCCUCAUUUAAUUUUUUUUUUACUAGAAGCAAAAAUGCUGGAUGCAUUAGCAAGAAACUGUACAGGAUGCCAAAAUCUACAUUGACUUGCUAUUUGAAACUACAAGUUUGAUAUCAUAUUCCAACCUAGCCAUGUUUUUUGUGAGACAGGGAAACAUGUUCUCCUGUUUCGCAGAAUCCAACAAGCUCCGCGACUACUUCAGCACUUUCACGUUCAUUUUGCAUGUUAAGAGGAUCUGACCAGAGUUUAUUCACAAGCUGUAGGCGUCUCCUCUGUUUACCUUCUGGUGGAAUGUCCCAUUUCAUGUACAUCAUUUCCCUUUCUUCUGCAUUUAGCUUGGAGCUCACCCGAUUUUCCCUCUCCUGCUUCAGAGCUUUAAUACUUGAUGAGACAUAGCCAGCAGGGUCAUCACCCAAAGAGCAGGACUAGCGUUACCAAGCCAAGUGUUGGUCUAACCAUGUCAACUUCCAUGUAUAUCUGAUCUGAUGGAUCCCCUUUAAAUAACAUGUAAAAUUGAGUACACGUGACACAAAUGCCACAACAUUAUAAUUUGCUGCCUUUGGUCCUCAAACACCAAGUGCCAUGACAACGGAGAUUGUUCGGUUAUAUCAGCCUCAUCACUUGCAGCUUCAUUUGCUUCCAACUCCAGCACCUGGCAAGCAAGCAACUGCUUCUGGUACUGUAACUUAGCUACCCUUCCUUUCAGCUCAGUAACAUAAGCUUUAUACUCCGAAUGUUCUCUUCAGCUGCUUUUUUAAACAUCUUCUUCAUGUUAACAGAGUUUGACUGCCUUGAUCCAGGAGUACCCUCCCUCGAUGAGAUACAGUUACUGUCCAUUCUUCUAACUGGAGUGCUUUUUUGGCUACAGAAUGCAUUACCAGCAGAUCCAACAUUAUUGCAUUCUGGUGCUCUGUUCUCAAUCUCGCCCUCCACGAUGUUGCAGGAUGAAGGAGACAUAGGAGAACACGGUGAUCGAAUUAUAUUUGGCAUGUUACUGGUGUUACUCAAAUUAAAAGGAAGCACCUUUUUCUUUUUUGGAGUCCUCAAAUCAACAGAUUCCUGACAACUUGGAAGAUGCAUGACUAAUUCGUCUAUACAUCUCUGAACAAUUCGUCUAUAGAUCUCUGAACAUUUUCAAGUUUCUGUUCUAACAUCACCUAACCAGAUCUCAUUCCAGAAACUGAUCUUCAGGCCAUUCCCCACUCUGAAAGUGGCACGACCCAAGAUUAGUCCCUAGGCAUGACACGGCGUACUUGACCCCGAAGGGGUCUUACACAAGCCUCGUAGUAAUCAUUCAUUGCAUAGGUAAAUAGAAAUAAGCGGAAAAUUAAAACUUUUCUCAAGAAAGUCAACUUCUUGCAAUAUAAGGAAAUAGGAACUAGACUUGUCUCAAUCACCAUCUAAAACAUAGAGUACAAAUAGGGACUUAGCCCUUUACAUCAAUAAAGUCUCCAUAAUAGGAAAAUACAACAUAGUCUAGAUUAUAGAGGAAACUAGAAUCAAAACAUCUUGUCCUCGAACUUGAGGAUUCACCAAGCCGGGGGAAUAGUCAACCCAAGCUUCUCUUCAGAAAGUGGAAGAAGUAUCAACGACCCGAACCUACACUCAUAGUAAAGGGAAAAAGGGGUUAGCACAUAAAAAUGUACUAAGUAUGGAAAUAUGCAUAAAACCUUUAAAUAUGCUUUAAAAGGGACAUUUUAGGAAAAGCAUGCAUUUAUGAAGUUUGGAGACCAACAUAUAUCAACAAUGUCAAUUAUAAGCCAAAAGACACAAUUAUAGCCAUAACAUAACAACCCAUCACCUUAGCAACCUUUAAAGAAUACUUGUGCAAUGUAUAGUUGGCAUCCCAUAAUACCAACCACACUAAGUACCCUUUGAAAGCUACCUUGGUCAUGUAUAUCAUCAAUAGACUUUAUCAUAAACAUAAGUCAUAAGUGAAGAACUAAAAAUGUACAUCAUUUGAACAUAAGGAGAGUCAUGCAUAUCACUAUCCAAUAAUAAUACAUGCAUACUUUCAUAUUUCAUCAUAUCAUAAAGGAACUAUCCCAUGAGCCUCCUAAUAAGUCCACUUGUGCCAUGUACAAGUAAGGUCCCAUACCCCUACUUAUACUAAGUCAACCUACUAAGAAACUCAUAGUUUAGUCCUUAUCUUAUUCAUUAUCUUAAUUGCAUAGGGAAGAGUAACCUAUAACUGACAUAGACCAUAUGAGCUACAUGGAAUUCGGUGUCAUAUGACCCCACACCGAAAGAAGGCGUUCUACUUGCCUAAGGUAGAACAAACUAUAUAGCUAUAAGGUGGAUCCAGUAGCUAAGUCCUAUGUUGGCACAUAGUUCUAGGAUAGGGAGAUUGCUUCUGGAAACCCGACCUAUUGCAUUAGCGGAGGGGCUUCCAUCUCAUGAGUAUCACUAGGAUGACCCAACCUUUUGCAUUAGCGGAAGGGCUUUUUCCUCAUUGUCCAUAUCCACUCGGUGCUAAGAGUUACUUCCCAAAUUAUACGUUAAUUGUAUUUAGAUUGUAUCUAUAUGUGUGAAGGAAUACUAGCCUUCGUUCAAUACAACCAUCAUAAUAGCUCAUAGAUUCUUUAUAGGUGAGAAUGUACUUUCAACCUAGAAUCAACAUAUCUAUGUGAGUAAAACUUUCACAUCAUCAUUCAUAGUGUCUUCAUGAGAAACACACUUUCAAUCAACACAUCAUAAUAACAUCAUCCUAGACAAUUCAUAAUCAUAUGUGUGCAUAGGGAUAAAGGAAACUACUCUUUCAACAUUACCCUAAUUCACACAUAAGUCAUAGGAUCUUCACCUUUCAAGUGGAAUAACAAUUCAUGUAUUGAAAUCUUAAACAUAUAAUGUCAUCAUACAUUGCCUUCAAGGCUAUACAUUAAGAUUCAACUCUUACCAUUGACCCCUUCAAGGGUUACCAACAAUACCUUGUAAUUACACUAAGAAUUCUCACAUUAAGCAUAAGUAAAGCAAGAUUAAUCAACUAAUUCAACAUAUCCACAAUUGUAGGUAAUCACCUUGCAUCAAUACAUUCAUCAAUAUUCAAGAAAUUGGGGUCAUGGGGUGCACAUGGGUUCAAAGGGAUUUUCACAAUAUAAAUCAUCAAUUAACUUCAAUUCAUACAUAAUAUAGGUCAAAUAACAUAAUGAAAACGUUUUUGUUGAGAACCCAUGGCUAGAGUAGAAACCCUAGUUUUUGGUCAAAUAGUCAAUUUCGAAAAUAGAAGUUUUGAAGGGCUUCAUGGGGAAACUAUUCCAUAAAUCAAGAUCCCCAUACCUUAUUUAGUGUUUUGCCCACGUUUUGGUGUUGGAAUCACGAACCCUUGAGCCCUAAUCUUCAAGCUCUUGUGUUCAUUAAUGGAGAGACUUGUAGAGAGAGAAAUAUUUGAGGAAUUGGGUUUUGAGAGAAUGAUUUGGGUGUUGGUGUUUUUGACUUAGGAAUAGGUGUAAAAUGACUUAAAACAUAUAAAUAUUUUACCCCUAAACUACCCAAAACACCCCCACAUUAAUUGGACUAAAAAGGAAAUGACCAACUUGUCCCUCAUUAACCCCAGUCCGUCCAUGUUCACGAGCCAACCUUCACGAGCCAUGGUUGUGGGACCGAUGUGUUUGUGGUUUAUUAUGACGCGUCUCGAGUGGGUUUGGGAUGUGUCCUCAUGCAACGGGCCAAAGUCAUCACUUAUGCUUCAAGGCAACUCAAGGUUCAUGAGAAGAAUUACCCAACUCAUGACCUUGAGCUAGCGGCGGUAGUAUUUGCUAUGAAAAUUUGGAGACACUAUUUAUAUGGGGUACACGUAGAUGUGUUUACCGACCACAAGAGUCUCCAAUAUGUGUUUAGUCAAAAAAAGUUGAACCUCCGACAAAGAAGGUGGUUGGAACUUCUAAAAGACUAUGAUAUGAGUGUCCUAUACCACCCCGAAAAAGUCAAUAUGGUUGCGGAUGCAUUGACUAGGUUAUCCAUGAGUAGUGUUGCUCAUAUAGAAGAGGAGAAGAAGGAGUUGGUUCGGGAUGUGCAUAGGUUGGCUCGGUUAGGGGUGCAACUAAUGGAUUCCACCAAGGGUGUAGUUGUGGUACAUCAUAAUUCCAAAUCAUCGUUUGUAGUUGAUGUGAAAUCUAAGCAACACCUUGACCCAAUUUUGAUGGAAUUGAAAAAGUCGGUUCUCAACAAGUCCAUUGAGGCUUUCUCCCAAGGGGGAGAUGGUGUGCUUAGGUACCAAAAUAGGUUAUGUGUUCCGAACAUCGAUGGUUUGAGGGAGAAAAUUCUUGAGGAGGCUCAUUGUUCGCGAUAUUCGAUUCAUCCGGGCGCCACUAAGAUGUACCGUGACCUACGGGAAGUCUAUUGGUGGAAUGGAAUGAAGAAGGAUAUAACGGACUUUGUGUCCAAAUGUCCAAAUUGCCAGCAAGUCAAGGUCGAACAUCGAAAGUCGGGUGGUCUACUCCAAGACAUAGUUAUUCCCACUUGGAAGUGAGAGGAGGUGAACAUGGACUUCUUGGUGGGUUGCCUCGUUAAAAAAAGGCAAUAUGAUUCUAUUUGGGUCAUCAUUGAUAGAAUGACCAAAUCAACCCACUUCAUUCCCGUCAAGACUACGUUUUCGGCGGAAGACUAUGCUAGAUUGUACAUUAAGGAGAUAGUGAAAUUGCAUGGAGUUCCUUUAUCUAUCAUAUCGGAUAUAGGUCCUCAAUUUACGUCACAUUUUUGGAGAGCUUUCCAACAAGGGCUAGGUACAAGUGUUAAACUUAGUACCGCUUUGCACCCUCAAACGAAUGGUCAAGCCGAACGAACCAUUCCAACCCUAGAGGACAUGUUGAGGGUGUGUGUGAUUGAUUUUAAGGGAAAUUAGGACGAUCAUCUUCCAUUAGUAGAAUUUUGCCUACAACAAUAGUUACCACUCCACCAUUGCUAUGGCUCCAUUUGAAGCACUUUAUGGUAGAAAGUGUAGGUUACCGGUUGGUUGGUUUGAGGUAGGUGAGUUUGCUUUGUAUGGUCCCGACUUAGUAUAUGAUGCUAUUGAAAAAGUUUGACUUAUUAGGGAUAGGUUGAAGACGGCCCAAAGUCGACAAAAGUCUUAUGCCGACCAUAGAAGGAGGGAUCUUGAAUUUGAGGUUGGUGAUUGGGUCUACUUGAAAAUCUCACCCAUGAAGGGUGUGAUGAGGUUUGGUAAAAAGGGGAAGCUUAGUCCCCGGUAUGUAGGUCUGUAUCAAAUCUUGCAACGUAUUGGCAAGGUUGCUUAUGAAUUGGACUUGCCAAGUGAAUUGGCUCCAGUUCACUUGGUGUUCCAUGUCUCUAUGCUCAAGAAGUAUAUUGGUGACCCGGUGUCCAUUCUUCCUUUAGAAGGCUUAGGGGUUGAUGAAACUCUUUCUUAUGAGGAAGUCCCGGUUGAGAUCUUGGACCGGUAAGUGAAAAAGUUGAGGAAUAAGGAAGUGGUUUCCGUUAAAGUCCUUUGGAGGAAUCAUAUGGUUGAGGGUGCAACAUGGGAGGCCGAGGCCGACAUGAAGUCCUGAUACCCUCACCUCUUUCCUUCUACCCCUAUUCAAACUUGAGGUAACUUAUUUCUUGAGUUUUGUAUUUUUGGAGAUCUUGGGUGAUAUGAGUUUCCUUGUGAUUUCCCUAUUAUGUGCAUGUUCUUGUGAAGAUUCAUAUUUAGUACAUUUGAGUUUUCAUAAAUUUCAUAUUCCUCAUGUUGGUUUUGCACCUUAGUAUGAUAAUUGCAUAAUUGACCUUGUGAGAUGAAAUGAUGAACAUGUUUUGCUAUACUUGAGAUGAUAUGGCUUAUUGGCUCUUUUAUGUUAUGAUUAAGCUUAUUGAAAGUUGGAGAAGGUAGUUCCUCCUAUAGUUAUGAGAAAUGGUGAACUUGAUGCAUAAUGACUUGUGGAUUAGAUUCCCACUUUCUAGAGCUGCUGUAAUUUUGUGUUGGUAUGGAAUUGAUGUUUCCUUAUACGAAUUGUGCAUUAUCUUGAUGUUGUUGUUGUUGGGCUGCUAGUCUUGAGUCUUCGAUUACCAUAAGGUGUCGAAAGUAUCAUUCGAGGACGAAUGUUCCUAAGGGGGAGAUAAUGUAAUAUUCCGGAAAAUGAUAGGUUAUACUAGAGCCUAAAUGCUUGGUUAAAAAUCAUGAAAAUGACUUCCUAAGCUCUUAGUAAACCAUUUAGGGCUAAAAGGAUGUAUAGGGGGUCAAGAACAUGAGGCAAGUGCCAUGGCCAAGGGUCUAAGCCAAGGCCAAAAGGCCAAGGCUGCCCCUAGCCAUUAACUACUGUCCCACACUUCACGAGAGGGACCACGAGUCGUGGUCCUCACCACGGCUCGUGAAGGUGGGAGUGGCCUUGCCUUGGCCUUGAGAAUUUAGCUCCUAAAUCCCCUAGCUACUGCCUCACUUUCCACGGGCAAGACCACGAUCCAUGGUCCACUUCACGAGGCGUGAAGGUGCCUGUGAAAGUGACUUGGCCAAGGAGCUUGAUGCACCAAAAAGGAGGCUCACUGCCUCAAACUUCACGGAAGGGACCACGAGUUGUGGUCCACUUCACGAGUCGUGAAGUAAGGCAUGAAGUCCCCUUAGUUUUUGGGUGAGGAGUGCACGUUUGGGAGGCUACUGCCUCAACCUUCACGAGUGCAACCACAGUUCGUGGUGCACUUGACGGAAGGGAGGCUGCCUCGUGAAGUUGCCUUAGCCUCAAGGGAGGUUGGCAAGCUAAAGGAGGCUACUGCCUCAACCUUCACGAGCCGUCCUCCUUCACAUGCUAUAACCAUCCAUUACUCUACACAACCUCCCAAUCCCUUCUUUAAUUCUUCCGUCCGCUAGCUAUCUCCUCCGCAAUGGAACAGCGCCCCCACCAUCCAAUAAUUUCCGGCGCUUACUCCAGGUACGCUGCUCUAAACAUUAGCUUAUUCGAAUCACUUUUGUACAUACUCCAUUGUUCUCUUCUCCACUCUUUCUUGCACACAUGCUUUAUUGUUAUUAUUUUACAUAAUACAAUCGUAAUUAUUUGCUUCAAUUUCAUACAUAUUCCAAGAUUCUCUUCCAUACUCUUUCUUUCGGUAGGGUUGUAUUGUCAUUAUUCUUACAUAACCCUUGAUGUUUGAGCGAUACACAUAAUUAAUACUGAUUUAACUUUUGUUUCACUGCCCAUGAAUAUGUUCCUUAAUUUCUAACCCACCCCUGUUGUCAAUAUGUAAAACAACAAUCCCUUUGCACAAACUUUAUACCAAUGGGAUUAGACUAUUCCGAUAAUGUUACCUUUCUGCCCCAUAAAGCUCCAUAUGAAUAGCAUCAUGUUCCAACUGAUACUAAUUGAACUGAUGUUCCAUUUUUGAUUGUUGGCAAUUAGUUUCCAUAACACACACAAAUACUCACCACAAACUUCUGGAACAAUUAAACUGAAUUGGGGUGUUUUAAUGUAAGUACUGAGAUAUUUGAUUAACUCCCUCUAUAAUCUUUAUAGGGAACAAAUAACAUUAAUAAUUAUACUCAAUUUAGUUGAAUUAUAGCGUAAACUCAUAGAUCAAAAUUGUUACUGGGAUAGUUGAUGUUAAACUACAGGGAGAUUUGUAACUUCCAUUUGAUAGUCAUCUAAAGAACUGCAGUAACUGUGGACAGAAUGUAUGAAAAAGAACUGUCUACUACUGUUGAUGCGCCGCAACUUGAACAAAUCUCCUCUCAAAGCAGGUAAUCACCUCUCACCAUACAUUCUGAAAUUUACUCAAGCCUUUCAACAUUUAUUGAUUGUGUCAACCUCACACCCUUCACCUGCUUUGAUUGCUACAAUCUAUAACCACACCUAGAUAUUGUAAAUGUGGUGCCUCCUCUAACAGUUCACAUUCUCACUUCCUAUUUUAUUAAUCUAAUGUUUUACUUUCUAUAUCGACUCCCCAGGAGUCCUACUAUAGACGCAAACGAAUUCCCUCCAGUUGUGGCUAUAGCAGAACGUAAACAAAUCCCCGCUCAAUCCAGCUAAUCAGGUCUUAACAUACAUUGAUACAUUUAAAUGUUCACCAUUUAUUGGCUGCCUCACCUGUUAAGUCAUGCUUUAAAUGCAACAAUCUCUAACCACGCAGGACCAUAUCGAAUGAAGAAAUACCCUCAUCCACCCCUUCACACUUAAACCCUCAUACUGUAUUUCCAGGUAAUUCCCACAUUAUAACUUCUACUUCAUUAUUGUUGGUCACAGUUAACAUUUUGCUUUUCUCUUUCUUCAGUAAGUGAACUACCUCAGGACCCCGUUCAAUGGGCAUACGAUCAGUUCUCUAAACUGCGAAUCAACUACAUGAGGCGUGGAACCACCACCAGGCAAUUAACAAACGGAGCCACUGGCUUAUGUACUAAUAGAUUAUUAACUCAUGUUUACCUCUUUACUUUGCUAUCCGUGUACUACCAGUUACCUUGGAUUACUAUUAAGAUUGUUGUUGCAAAGUCAGUUAAUUUAUAACAAUUGCCUCCUAUUCUAUUUGUAUUACGUUACUUCUGCCCCUUUAAUAACAUGAUUUUAACUCAAAAUGCCGGCCUAAUUGCCAUUACCCAUGCUAGAUAUACCCACCGCAAUUCCCAUUUUACUUUUACAGAAAUUCUACAAAACUUUGGCGUCGUUACCAAUAUACUUAUACUUGACGUGGCCCUUUUAAAGCCCACUUUUGGCCACCAAACCUGGCUAAAUGUUUUACACAAUUGAAACUUCUGCGUUCUGCACCAAACUUAAUGUACGAUACUAUUUCCCCUGUUUCAUAAACUUAUGGACACAUACUAUUCUAACAUAAUGCUUUCCCGUAUCUCCCAAGAAUGCUAAUUCUCAACUAAAAUAUAUGUGGACAACUUAGGCUCCAGUGUGUUGGUUUUUUCCAAAUAAACAUUCUACGUUGCUGAACAUAGUUAAACAAACUAAUUUCUCAACUCCUACCAAAUCCAGAUUUUCCUCUAUCUUUGCUCCAUCAAAUACAGCCCCCCAACCAACUAAUAAAACACAUUAGGAUAACAUUAACAUGAGACUGGUGCACGGUGUCUCUCCAUUGCUUAAUGCUCACACUAUGUUUACGUUAGUAACUCAACUUGCAAAUGCACAUCCCUGCCUAUUAAAGGUCAAUAGGAAAUGACAUACUAAGUUACUAACACAAAUUGAACCUAAAACUACCCUAUCACAUAUAUGAUAAACCCAUUCUCAUUGAAUCAAAGUAGUCUACAACAUAUUAGAGAUUCGUCAAUUUAUUAUGCGAUGUUACUCGAUUGCAGGAAUUCACAAUGAAUUCGAGGAUCGAAGCACUGUUUCAGGAUUUCUCGAGAAAACGGUUAGUAAUGAAGAAGAAGAAGAAUAGAAAGAGAGAGAUUAGACAAAGAAAGAGAAUUCUGUAUAUUCCAUAUAUCUUGUACAAUGAGUUGAUUACAAGUUAUAUAGUAAUUGAAUUGAACUAACUUGAACUUUUAAGCUAAAAACAGAAUCUGUUACUAACUAACUGCUUAACUAACUUUCACUGAAGUUAACUAACACAUGGAAUUGUAACUAAUCAUGUAUCAGUACAUAUUAGAGAUUCGUCAAUUUAUUAUGCGAAAGAGUCGUCUAAAGAUCCAUUAAAUAACCACUUACCGAUCACACUUCCAAGAGAUUUACAUAUAAAUAAUGAUGCAUUUACAACGGAGUUUGUAGCCACUUCACAGGACAAUUACAAUUUAAUAUUACACAACUAAAACAUCAAUUCCCUAUCAAUCCAACCCUAAUUCAUCAUAAAAUAAGCAAUACUAAGGACAAUAAUUAACAUAGAACAAGGGUUUUACCUGACGACGCAAGAACCACGAUCAUGAACUUCAUCAAAGCACAUCAGCAGGCGGUGGUGGCGCGUCAGCAUCAGACUUCUCUAUAAAGUCUACUAGAAACCUUGCCAUAACUAGGAAAAGACCCAAUAUAAUUGUCACGGAACUCAACCAACUCUUAAACCCAAAAUCUCUAACGACAAGGUUUACCAGCCAUCCAGUUACUGCAUAGUGAAUGCCCCCGUCACUUGACACGGGCCUAAACAACAUUAGUAAACAAAAAAUGCUGAUUAGAAAUGAGCAAACCUCUAAAGGUACCCUUGGAUGUCCAGAAAAGUGCAUCAAUGAGCUGCUCAAAAGGCUUAACGUACUUGAAGUCAGGACAAUGUAAAAAAGGGGUAAUGUCAUCAUGAAGUUUUGCAAUAUGAAAGAUCAAGUGACUGACAUCUUCACCCAAGGCUAAGCAAGGACCAGUUUGUCAAGAACAUGUAUGUACUCACAGUGACUUAGCUGAAGGGAAGAACAUAACACAGUGUGAUCAGGGCAAUUGAUGUUUGAACAAAGAUAGGGACCUGGUACCAGUUCAGAGAAGAUGCUGAAAAGGUUUCAUGUUAUGGAUGCCUAGAUAAUUCAUACUCUCAUGGGCACUAACUUGAAGUUGGAUGUUGAUGAACCUGGUUCAAAGAUUUCAUUCUUGUACAAAAGAAUCACAUUUGAAGGCUGCUGAGAGAAUCUUGAGACAUUUGUAGAAGAUAGGGGACCCGGUCCUAUUCUGUCCAUCAUGAGACAUUUGAUUUGGAGUACAUGGUGAUGUUGAUUAUGCUUGGUAUCAAGUUGAUGGAAAGAGUACCUCAGGAGUGGCUUAUUCUAUAGGUUGAUCUCUCACUCAUGGGGAACUAAAAGACAAGAUUCAGUUGCUCGUUCAUCAACUGAGGCAGAGAAUGUAGCAAGUGCAGCUUGAUAUGAUCAAUUCUUGUAGAUCAAGCAGCAGCUUGAAACUCUUAGAAGACCUGACUAAGAUAAUCAAACUGAAGUUGGGAAUGCUGAAACCGGCUUGAAUGGAUCAUGCCUGAAGCAAUCAACUCUCUCAUGACUAUGCAAUUGAGCAGGUAUCCUUGUGUUUCAGUUAUACAUAUUUUAGCAAGUUCAGUCUUAUACCCUUUGUAGGUAUACACACAUGGCAAAAGGGCUAAAGGAAAAGGGAGGUCAAGACAGAUCUAGGCUAUCACAUUCAAACUACAGAGAGGGUCUGGAAGGUUAGCAAUCUUAACAUUGCAGUUUGAAUUAUGCAUAAGAACCAUUGCAAUUGCCACAUGUUUUUCAUUCAGGUAUCUGACCGUUGUCCCAUCAUUUGAGUACCAAAAUGAUACUUCAUUUCUCUUCUUUAUACUUCAUAUUUCUUUUGAAAUCCCUUUCCAAAAUCAGAAAUUUUCAAAACCUUCUUUUCUACUUUCUCAAAAAACACUUCAAAUGUGUAAACUCUUUGCUCCUAUUGGAGAAUUUUCUGAUGAAGAUGUUUUUAAGUGUGAAGAGGUACCAGGUCCUACAAGAAAAAAAGGAGAUGGUGAGAAAGAUGAUGUUCAAAAAGGAAAAGGUUGAUAUUCUGAAAACUCAAAGUAUUCUGAAUAGGAAGGUGUCUGAAAAAAAAUGGAAAAAAAAUGAUGAAAUGAAAUUUUCUUUUUGGUUCCUCAAUUAUUGAUCUAUUCAUUGUAGAGGCCUUGAGUAAGUUUGAUUUUACCAAUCUUUAUGUUAUGAGAAACUCAGGCUAGUGUUGGAAGCUAUGAUAGUUGCUCUUGCUAACUGGGAUACUAAAAUGGGUUGUCUAAAGGCUCAGCUUCUGAAACAACACUAUCGAAGGGACCAGGUUGAAAAAAAAAAACCUGGCAGCCCUGAAGGUUCAACAUGAAGGCUGGGCAGCAAAGAAUGUGAGCUUCAAAUGAGGCUUCUGAAAAUUCCAUGCUAAGGGAUAUGCUUUACUAAUUCUAUUCUUUCAAUCCCUUGCUUCUAUGUUAUCCCCUCUCUUCCUAAACUCCGGUGUCAGUCCUCCUCGUUUUCUAUCGAAAUUCAGUGGGCAUUGUCUUAGUUCUCAUUUGUAAUGAUAUGUGCAAUGCUUUGAUUACUGAUCUUUUAUUUAUGAAUGACAAAUGCCUUGUUUCUACUGACUUGUCUCAUUACUUUAUGCAUUUUUAUUCAUGCUUAGUGUUGCCCAAGUGGCCAUGAAUUUGCUUGAACUGCAAUUCUGUCAACUUGGUUUAUUGCUUUAACCCUUUUUUAUGAUGUCAAAAGGGGGAAAAUUGCUAAGGUAUGAGAUCAAUGAUUUAGCUAGCUACUUGAAGAGGACAUGACCAUGCCUAUAGGGGGAAUCAAUGCUAGCCACUUGAAAAAGACAUGGUCAUGCCGAUAUGGGGAAUAAAUGCUAGCUACUUGAAGAGAGGACAUGAUCAUGCCGAUAGGGGGAAUCAAUAUUAGCGACUUGAAGAGGACAUGGUCAUGCCGAUAGGGGGAAGAAGUUGAACAAGUUUGUCAUCAUCAAAAAGGGGGAAAAUGUUAUUUUGAUGUUUUGAUGAUUUGACAAACUUCGGGGAUGAUGAAACUCCAGUUACCCGAAGAGUUCUUGUUGAUAGGGGGAACUGGUGAAUAAGUAUGUUAUCAUCAAAAAGGGGGAAAAUGUUAGUUCGAAGCUGAUAUGAGAUGUUAGUUGAAGUUGAUAUGAAGUUUUGAUGAUUUAACAAACUUAUCGAUCUAACAAGGAACCAGAUCUUUGUUAAUGGGACUGCUGACAGGGAAAUGAAUGAAUAAGCUUAGUGUGAGGAAUAUUUGUGCGUAAUCAUAAAAAAGGGGAAAAUGUUAUAUUCUAGGUGUUUUGAUGAUCCUCACAAAUGCAGGGACCUGGUCCCUGGCAGAGUGUUCUCGUCCAGAACUAUAAUGGGGUACAACUGUAAAGUUGUCGUGUCAGAGGUUGGUGAGGCGUCAACGUACUACACCAAUCAGAAUGGACGAAGGUGUUUGUCCAACGGGUAAUAACUCUUUAUGGUUGAUAUUUUCUACAUGACAAACACCAUAUUAAAUUCAUUCAUCCUAAGAAGGAAGUCAACCAACAAGCCUUUUCAAGAACCCACAAAGAAAAGUUUGUAAGGGACCUGGUCCCUGCAAGAUUGCGAUAUGAAAAGGUGACAAGACAGCUGUCAGAAAAGCUGCCACCUAUGAUGUGGUAGGUGCACAACUUUUUUAAACAGCAGGCCUUCAGCCAAUAAGAUUAUUUCAACGAGUUUGAGUUGAUUUAUAUUAUCUAUUUCCAAAAUACACAAACUUAAGACUUGGUAAAACAAAAACUUGGAUUUUCUCUGAAAAUUCAUAAGCUUUAAAAGAAGGCCAUCUUCAAGGAAGAACAAUACUCAUGCUCAACAAAGGGACCUGAUAGAGUGCUGAAGCGUCUUUGUUGAGUUUGAGUUUUGUUAGUUUUUGCAACUUGAAAAUUCUCAAGAACACUUGCAAAGACUCACUUUCAAGAAGUAUUCUCCGGCAAGCACAACAAGGAACUGAUCAAGCUACAAGCAUCAGAGUGUGUCUUAGGAGUUAUACUUUCGUGCAUAUAUUGUAAAUAUGUUCCUAGUUUAUAAAGGAUUCAGAUAUUUGUUUCGGUUUCUAAAAGCCUAAAUCAGUUGAGUUUAACUGGUUUAGUGGGCAACAUUGUUUUGCUGCUUAGUCAAAUUCUAAGUCAUCUAGGAGCUAGUUGAUUUAAUGGGCGGUGUGGUAUCCGCUAAGCAAAGUCUAGGUUAUCUAGGGGUGAUAGCUUAGUGGACAAUGUGGCAUCUGCUUAGGCCGAGAAAGUUUUUUUGGAGAACAAAUCGAAGGUCAGAACUGAAGUGAAGUUUUGCUUCUUCAGAGUGAGAGAAACACAGUGAAGUGAAAAUUGUUUCUUCACAAACACUUAUAACACUAAUUUUUAACAUCAACACAGCUAUUGCCCAUUUUGUUUUUUCAGCAACCGUUAACGCCAUUGAAUUGAAUUUGUGUUUUCUUAGGAAGGUAGAAAAUGAGCGAUGAACCCAGAAAGCUUUGUCUUUAGAAAAUCCCGCUUAAACAAAAAAUUUUAAUUGAAAACCUAUCUAUAUAUAAAAUUAUAGCUUUUAAAUUAUUUCUAUGUAGAAUUAACUGUUAUGAGUUAAGAAUAAGUAUAUCUUAGGUAUAACUGAAAUUUAUCUUUAUCCCUAAAUACUACUAAAAAUAAGAAUUAGUGAUGAUCAAAUUUUAUAAUUAACUAAUAAAAGUCAUGGUUGAUUCUAUUAAAAUAUAAAUUGUAACCUUUAAAUUCUGAUUAUAUUUUUCUUUUAAAUAAUCUAUCAUUUUUUUAUUCAAUAAUUUAUUUUCUAGGAGUAGAUUUAUAAUAGUGUAAAGACAAUGAUAUUUUAUUUAACUUUUGAUGAGCAGAAUCAAUAGUAUUAAAAAAGAGAGUUAAUAUAUAUAUAUAUAUAUAUAUAUAUAUAUUAAGAGAAGAGGAGAUAUUUUGAAGGUAUUUAUACUUUGAAUUGAUUUUUUUUUAAAAAUAAAACAAAUUAAAUAAAUUAUACAAAUAAUAUUGGUGGUAUAUUUAAAUAAUAAAAUAAUAAGAGCAUAGGAUAAAAUUGUUAGUGGGUGGUGGAUGGGUGGCACACAAUUUUACUAGCUUAAUCACCACUUUAAAUAUUUUUAAAUAGCUAAGCAAUUGUGAGUAAUGAAUUUUUUUUAAGGUUAUAAAAUCACUAGGCUACAACAUGUUGCUAGAGUGAUGUAAUAGAAGUAUUACAAUAAUUAGAUUUUAAUGGGUAGAAAUAUUUGUUUUUAUAACCUUCAAAAGAGGAGUGCACAUACUCUAUGGAUAAGCUCGCCUAAUAGAAAUGUUAAUAGAUAUUAAAAAUAUAGAAUUCAAAUUCAUUUGCAGCUGAUAUAAAAAAUUAAACUAAAAUUCAAUAUAUCAUAUUGAAAAUAAAAUAAAUGUAGUUCAAAAUUAUUAUUUUUUAUUAUAGGCAAAAUACUAAAUUAAAAGCUUAAUAUAAAUUAUUAUAGCAAAUAAAUUUACUCAAGAUGAUGAUAGGGAAAGUAAGAGUGUAUUUAUGAUUAUGAUUUAUUUAUAAAAUAAAUAAAGUAAAUAAUUAAAACUAAUUGCUAACAAAUUUAGAUAAUGAACCGAGUUUAUAUAUUGAUUAAUUUUUUUAUAAUUAUUAACUAUUAUAAAUGAUCGAGGUGCUAAAUAUACUAAAAUCCUAUCAUGUAUGUUGAUAUUUAAUUUUGGAUUGUAAUCAUGUAAAUCUUAUAAUUCAUUUAAUAAAAUGCAUUUUGAAAUUGUUUAACAAAUCUAUAUAUGUAUGAAUAGAGUUGAUACCGCGCAUUGCGCGAGUAUGUAUACUAAGGCUGGCAAUUGGACAAUAUUGGAUCAACAGGAUCGGUUUUACCGGAACCGGUCCUCGUUACAGGAUUUAUUUAUCGGAAUCGGGUCUUACCGAAACCGGUUUUACCGGAUAUUCCCAAAGGUUCCGCCCGGUCCCUUAGUUACCGAUAGGAGCCGGUUUGGACCGGACCGGAACCGGUUCUUACUGGAUCAUUGUGUACCGGUUAAUUUUUUUAUUUUUUAUUAACUUUAAUUAUUAUAUAAUAUUAUAUUACUAAAAAACUUCAAUUUAAAACUUUAAACUUAAACUUUAAAGUUUCAAUUGAAUUUACGUUUAAACUUUAAACUUUAAAGUUUAAAAUUGACUUUAAAUUUUAAAGUUUAUAUUGAAUUUAAAGUUGAAAAUUGACUUUAAAGUUUAAAGUUUAUAAUGAAUUUAAAGUUUAAACCUUAAAAUUUAAUUUUAUAUUAAAGUUUAAACUAAUAUCAAAAUAGUUGAAAAUUAAAUUUCUGAAAUGACUUGGAUUAAAUAUAAGAGACUAUUUUAAAAGAAAAUCAAAGUCUUAUAUUUAUUCAAAUAAAUAAAUUGUACAAUACAAAUAUUAGAAAGAGACAUAGUACAUAAUCUAGGUAUUAAAUAUUAAUUAUUGUACUAACAAUUGAAACUUUUUUUAAAAUCUUUUCGUAACUUUUGUAUCAUUUCAAAAGAAACAUUUUUUGAAACUUGUAUUUGUCGUUCUUCUUCCAUACUAAAGAUCUUUUAGCAUGUACAUCGGUCUUUGAAAAAGUAGGUAAAGAGGGGACUUCAUCUUGUUCCGGUAAUUCAGUAGCCGCACUACUAGGGGUAGAGGUCUCAUCAUCUUCCUCAUUUAUUUCUACUUCCUCAUCUAAUUCUUCCUCAAAAUUAGUAAAACAUCUAUUUAAAGUCUCAUGAUCUACUUCAUUUUCGGAAUUAAAUUCAAUAGGUCGUGAGUCUUGUGUAAAAGAAGUUUCAUCAACAUGAGUAUAAUCAUUAGUAUUAAUUCUAAAUCUAGGAGGUGGCAAAUUUUUAGAAUUAGAACUACUUCCUCCUCCCCUAUUUAUUUUUCUUUCCGACAUUGGUCUUUUACCACUAUUUCUUUCCAAAUUCAUGUUCAAGUUUUAAAUAAUUAAUAUUAUGAAAAACAAGCAAGAUAAUAUAACAAAAAAAAACUUAAUUAAUAAACAAAUAAAAAUUAAAAUUGAAACGAAUGUACCGAACGUCUACGUAAAAGUAGACGUAAAACCAAAGCCGGAAUUGAGAGAUGCCAAUUGAAGCUUCCGAUUUACUUCAAAUAUAUCUCCAAAAUCCGAACUCCAAGUCAAUAUCACAAAAUAAUAAUUAUGAAUUUAUGAGAGAUUGAAAAUUGAGAGAUUUUGUAAGAUGUUAAAGAAAUAAUUUGUGAAUUUGUGAUUUAAAUAAAAGAAUAUGGGUAAAGGGGUUAGAGAGGGGUGGAGGGCUGUUUUGAGCCGUUUUGGUCCCCAACCCAACGACUAUAAAUUAACGUUCAACUUAAAAAAAAAGAAGUUUAAAAUGGAAGUGACCGUUGAACCGGAUCAACCGGAUAAAAAAUAGGAUUCCGUUUUGGUACCGGUUCCGAUACCCUAUAAGAUUGGUUCCUUACCGGUUCAACUGGUACCGGACUCACCGGUAUGGGAACCGGAUCGGACCGGCCAAAACCCUGUCCAUUUGCCAGCCUUAAUGUAUACUAGUAAAAUAUAUAAGGAGAAGUAAAAAGUGACAAAUGUCGUCACCAUAAAAAUCUAAUAAUUACUAUUUAAAAAUAAAUAUAUAAAUAAAUUAAUAAUAAAAAAUAAAUAAGUAAAAUUUGAUUGUAAAACAAUACGUAACUAAAAAGCAAAAAUGUGGAUUUUCAUAACAAAAUUGGGGUAGUUUUUUUUCCAGUUUCUUUAAUUUAUUAAAUUCUAUCCGGAUUGUCAGUAAAAUAAUUUCUCACAGUUAAUUUAAAUUUAAAUUUGAAAAUCUGAAACUGCAAAUAACUGUUGUACCAUAUUUAAACGUAUUCAAUUAUCUUCAAAUCAAUCUUUCGUUGAAUUCACAAUUUAAUAGUUGCUUUCAAUAUUCUUCCAUAUUUUUGUAUUCAAUUCCAAUGACACCAAAGGCGUAGAAGAGUCAGCAAAAAAGAAACUAUCAGAGAAAAGAAGACCAUCAUAGCCGAGAAAGUUUCUUUGGAGAACAAAUCGAAGGUCAGAACUAAAGUGAAGUUUUGCUUCUUCAAAGUGAAGUAAAAAUUGUUUCUUCACAAAUACUUAUAACACUAAUUUUUAACAUCGACACAACUAUUGACAAUUUCAUUUUUUCAGCAACCGUUAACGCCAUUGAAUUGAAUUUGUAUUUUCUUAGGAAGGUAGAAAAUGAGCGAUGAACUCAGAAAGCUUUGUUUUUAGAAAAUCCCGCUUAAACGAAUUUUUUUAAUUGAAAACCUAUCUAGAUAUAAAAUUAUAGGUUUUAAAUUAUUUCUAUUUAGAAUUAACUGUUUUGAAUUAAGAAUAAGUAUAUCUUAGGUACAACUGAAAUUUAUCUUUAUCCCUAAAUACUACUAAAAAUAAGAAUUAGUGAUGAUCAAAUUUUAUAAUUAACUAAUAAAAGUCAUGGUUGAUUCUAUUAAAAUAUAAAUUGUAACCUUUAAAUUCUGAUUAUAUUUUUCUUUUAAUUAAUCUAUGAUUUUUUUAUUCAAUAAUUUAUUAUCUAGGAGUAGAUUUAUAAUAGUGUUAAGACAAUGAUGUUUUAUUUAACUUUUGAUGAGCAGAAUCAAUAAUAUUAAAAAAGAGAGUUAAUUAAAAUAUAAUAAUUGAGGGAAAUAUAUAUACCGGAACCGGGUCUUACCGAAAUCGAUUUUACCGAAAAUUCCCAAAGAUUCCGCCCGGUCCCUUAGUUACCGAUAGGAGCCGGUUUGGACCAGACCGGAACCGGUUCUUGCCGGAUAAUUGUGUACCAGUAUUUUUUAUUUUAUUUUUUUAUUAACUUUAAUUAUUAUAUAAUAUUAUAUUAUUAAAAAACUUUAAACUUAAGCUUUAAAGUUUCAAUUGAAUUUAAGUUUAAACUUUAANNNNNNNNNNNNNNNNNNNNNNNNNNNNNNNNNNNNNNNNNNNNNNNNNNNNNNNNNNNNNNNNNNNNNNNNNNNNNNNNNNNNNNNNNNNNNNNNNNNNUCUCGCCGCACUAAAGGCUUGCUCCGAAGCAACCGAUAAUGUUUGAAUCGCUAGCACAUCUCGAACAACCCUAGCAAGAGUCGGAAAUUGAUUUUCACGAUUCUUCCACCAUACUAAUAUUUGAGCUUGAAGGUGUCCUUUUUCUAUGCCUAAUCUUUCCCCGUGUCUGAUUGAAAUAUAAAUCAAAAUCAUUAUUAGUAGAGGAUUUAAGUUCAAGAUAAUCAUCCAUCCUAUCAUCCGUAUCAUCACUUCUAGGCCUACAAGAUGGAGGUUCAACUAUUGGAAUAUUUUUUUCCAUAGUUUAUAUGUAUUAUAUAACUCUCUAGCUUUUGUAUAUAUGCUACUUUUACAAUCUUCAACACUAGGAGUUUCAUCAUCUUUAAUUUCUAAAUUUGCAUAAAUCUUUUCAACCAUUCUUUCAACACCUUUUAAUUUGUAAUUUGGGUUGAAAGUAGUAGCAGUUAAAUAGAUUUGAGAAAUAGGAAAAAAAUAUUUUUUGAAUUUUUCAAUCAUAAAAGCAAGUGAAUCUUUAAAUCGAUCUUUUCCUCUAUAUUUUGCAAAUUCAGAUGAAAUAGCACAAAUAUUUACUAAAACAGUAGAAAUAGUUGGAUAAUAUUUACCAGAAGCAGCAUUUGUUGCUUUAUAAAAAACACUUAAAAAUUCAAUAAGUUCUUUUGUAUUCAAUAAGUUCUUAAAUUCUGGUCCGCAUUAUGAGCAUUAAAAACUAAUUGUACCGGCUCUUGAUAAAUAUAAGCAACUUCAAGCAAUUCAAAUAAAGAAUUCCAUCUAGUGCAUACUUCUUUUGGAACUUUUCUAUAUGCAAGUCCACAUUCUUUACAACGAUUUUUAAAUUUUGUAAUUCUUGCUUUUAUUUUAGCUUUAAAAAUCCAAUUACAAGCAAAUCUAAUUUUUUCACAGGAAAUUUCAAAUUAAGAAAUACCAUCUGUUACUAUCAAAUUAUACACAUGUGCGGCACACUUAACAUGAAAAGAAUCAUUAUCAAUUGGACAAAGUCUACAUUUUAAAUAAUCAAUUACUUUUAAAUUAUUAGAAGCAUAAUCUAAAGUGACACUCAUUAUUUUAUCACAUAUUCCAUAAAAUUGUAAAAUAGAGCUUAUUUUUGUUGCUAUAUAAGAACUAGUUUUAGUUUCUUCAACAUAUUUAUACCCUAAUAUUCGUUUUUGUAUGUUCCAUUCAUGGUCAAUCCAAUGGACAAUAAUUGUAAAAUAAUCAUUACCAGUAGGACUACGUCUCAUAUCAGAAGUAAUAGAUAAUCUACCAUUAUAAUGAACAAAUAAACAACGAAGAAAAUGACAAUAUUCUUUUUGAUAUUUAAAAAGAUCACUUUUAAUUGUACUUCUUGGAAUACCUGCAUAAUUUGGGUUAUACAAUUCCCGAAUAUAAUGAACAAAACCAGGAUGGGAAGGAAAUGAAAAAGGUAAACCACAAACAACAACCAUUUUUAGCUAAUUCUCUACGAUCUUUUUCUUUACUAUAUGUGUGGUGUGUGCUUCGGCUAGCCGGGUUAGUCAUCUUUAAUACACUUUGAAUCAUAUUAGAACCUCCAACUCCCAUAGAAUUUUCAGGUAUGGGUAUUCCAUUUCUAUUACCCCUUUCUAUAUAAUCUAGGCGAGCAAAUUCUUUAUUACACUUUCUCAAAUGUGUUCUUAGUCGUCCCGUUCCCCCUUGUGUACCCGUAGUUACAUGUUUCAUGAUCAAUUUACAUUUCAUGCAAGUAAUAGUAGUUUUUUCCUCAUUUUGUACCAAAAAUUUCCAUACUAAAGAUCUUUUAGCACGUACAUCGGUCUUUAAAAAAGUAGGUAAAGAGGGGACUUCAUCUUGUUCCGGUAAUUCGGUAGCCGGACUAGUAGGGUAGGGGUCUCAUCAUCUUCCUCAUUUAUUUCUACUUCCUCAUCUAAUUCUUCCUCAAAAUUAGUAAAACAUCUAUUUAAAGUCACAUAAUCUACUUCAUUUUCGGAAUUAAAUUCAAUAGGUCGUGAGUCUCGUGUAAAAGAAGUUUCAUCAACAUGAGUAUAAUCAUUAGUAUUAAUUCUAAAUCUAGGAUGUGGCAAAUUUUUAGAAUUAGAACUACUUCCUCCUCCCCUAUUAUUUUUUCUUUCCGACAUUGGUCUUUUACCACUAUUUCUUUCCAAAUUCAUGUUCAAGUUUAAAAUAAUUAAUAUUAUGAAAAACAAGCAAAGAUAAUAUAACAAAAAAAUAAAAUAACUUAAUUAAUAAAUAAUUAAAGUUGGAACGAAUGUACGAAACGUGUACGUAAAAGUAGACGUAUAACCAAAGUCGGAAUUGAGAGAUGCCAAUUGAAGCUUCCGAAUUACUUCAAAUAAAUCUCCGAAAUUCGAACUCCAAGUCAAUAUCACAAAAUAAUAAUUAUGAAUUUAUGAGAGAUUGAAAAUUAAGAGAUUUUAUAAGAUAGUUUGUGAAUUUGUGAUUUAAAUGAAAAAAUAUGAGUAUAUUUAUAGUGUUAAGGGGUAGAGAAGGGUAGGGGCUGUGUAAGAUGUUAAUGAAAUAAUUUGUGAAUUUGUGAUUUAAAUAAAAGAAUAUGGGUAUAGGGGUUAGAGAGGGGUGGGGGGCUGUUUUGAGCCGUUUGUGGCCCCAGCCCAACGGCUAGAAGGGCCCAAUGGCUAUAAAUUAACGUUCAACUUUUAAAAAAAGUUUAAAAUGGAAGUGACCGUUGAACCGGAUCAACCGGACAGGAAUCAGAUCGGAACCGGUUCUUACCGAACCAGAUCAACCGGAUAAAAAACCGGGUUCCAUUUCUGUACCGGUUCCGAUACCCUAUUAGACAGGUUCCUUACCGGUUCAACCGGUACCGGACUUACCGGUACGGGAACCGGAUCAGACCGGCCAAAACCCUAUCCAUUUGCCAACCUUAAUGUAUUCUAGUAAAAUAUAUAAGGAGAAGUAAAAAGUGACAAAUGUCGUCACCAUAAAAAUCUAAUAAUUACUAUUUAAAAAAUAAAUAAUAUAAAUAAAUUAAUAAUAAAAAAUAAAUAAGUAAAAUUGAUUGUAAAACAAUACGUAACUAAAAAGCAAAAAUGUGGAUUUUCAUAAGAAAAUUGGGGUAGUUUUUUUUCCAGUUUCUUUAAUUUAUUAAAUUCUAUCCGAAUUGUCAGUAAAAUAAUUUAUCACAUUUAAUUUAAAUUUAAAUUUGAAAAUCUGAAACUGCAAAUAACUGUUGUACCAUAUUUAAACGUAUUCAAUUAUCUUAACCAUCUUCAAAUCAAUCAUUCAUUGAAUUCACCAUUUAAUAGUUGCUUUCAAUUUUCGUCCAUAUUUUCGGAUUCAAUUCCAAUGACACCAAAGGCGUAGAAGAAUCAGCAAAAAAGAAACUAUCAGAGAAAAGAAGACCAUCAUAGCCGAGAAAAUUUUUUUGGAGAACAAAUCGAACGUCAGAACAGAAGUGAAGUUUUUCUUCUUCAAAUUGAGAGAAACACAGUGAAGUGAAAAUUGUUUCUUCACAAAUACUUAUAACACUAAUUUUUUUGCAUCUUUUCUUUCAAUUCCUUCCAUAGAUUAUUGUCUCAUGGAUAAACGAAAUUUAGUUUAUUGGAAAUACUAGGAAUUAUGCAUACGCUUCUUAUCUCCUAAUGCAUCAGUUUUUAUAUAAGCAAAAAACAUAAGUCAAUGUCUAACAUCCUAUUCUGAUUUUUGAAUUUCAUGAAGAUUGAUAGGUAACAACAAGAAUUUUAUGUUUCUUUUUCAAAAUUUAUCAUUAAGAAAUAAACUAAAUAAAAUACUACAAUAUGCAUCAACACUAGAUCAAUUAAUUAGGAAUAUAAUUUAUUUAUGAUAAAUCAUAUAAUAUUGUUGUUAGUCAAAAUAGACCAUCUUUUGAAGAAGUCGGUUAUCGCAGAUGAAAAACACAAAAGAUACGAUGAUAAUUUUAGACUUCCAAAUUGUUAUCGCUCUACUGAUGCCUUUUUCCUAAAGGUACGUUAGAAAAAAUAUUUGCCGGAGAAUGUAUUAAUUUGUGGGAAUCAAACAAUUUCUCAAUUACGAAUGUUACAACAUUCACUUUUACUGUCUAUGGAGUUGUCCAACUCAUUCUUGCUUGAAUUGAUUCUACGAGAUGAGAAGGUAUUGUGCAAUUAUAUUCUUUCAUAAUUAUGUUAACAUAUAUAAACGUAUUUUAUCUUAUAAUCAUUCUAUAACUCUUUUUCUCUGUUUUGUGAUUGCAAAUGGGUGAUAUGCUUUACUUAAUUACUUUGUUUAUAAUUAAUAAAUAGUGAUGUUAGCAUGUUUUUGAAAGAGAUAUAUAUAUAUAUAUAUAUAUAUAUAUAUAUAUAUACACUCUACAAAUUUACAUUAAAUGAAUUGUGUUUUGACAUAAUCUACUAUUGGGGUGAGAUUUGAAACUAUGAUCCGUGAACUUACUUUUCAAUUCUCCAAAUUCCAUGCAUUUAUGAGUUUUAUAGUCAAUCAUAUAUUCGUAGGACAAAAAAACAAUGAUUUUACAUUAUAUAUGCAAAUUACAUUAACACCAAGCAUGACCAGAUUUACAUUAACACAAACAUGGCCAGAAUUUUAGAAAUUACGAUCAUAAGCAACUCAAUACCAUAAAUGUAUGUUAUUUUGUGAAAAAUGAGAAGUUUAAAGUUGUAAAAGUUCCUAAGAAUAGAAAUGCAUAGUAAAACCUCUAUAAAUUAAUACUCGAUAAAUUAAUAAUCUCUCUAAAAUAAUAUUUUUCUCCGGUCCCGACUUGGGCCAAUAGAAAAAAUCACCAAUUUUGAUAAGAUAAUAUAUUUCCAGAAGUCUCCUAUAUAAAUAUAUGGUCCCAUUAAUAUCAUAAAUUAAUAAUUCUUUAAAAAUAUAAAUAUAUCUAAGACAAUUUAGUGAAAUAUGAUUCUAUUGUGUUCUGUUUUUUCUUAAAAUUUAAAUAUAGUUGAAGCCCAUCUCUAACUUUUUUUAUUGCAUUCAAGAGCUCUGGUGUUGUCUUUUCGAACUAUACCAUAAAAUUGUGAAGAGUUCUAGAUGUUAUAAGUGCUUCCCUACGCUUAACUAGUUCCAAAUGUAUAGUAUCAUCUUCAACUUUAUCAUCAACAUUGUUUCUUCCGAUGGUAUCCACAAUUUCUUCUAAGCUCUGGACCUCUGAACAUGUAUCACUUUCACCCGGAUAAUCCAACAGGUUAUUGACAUCCAUUUUAUUGUGGUAACCAAGAUCAUUAAUCAUGACCUCAAGUUUAUGAGUGACGUUUUCACAAGUGGAUUCAUUCAAAUUCUCUAAGAUUGCAUCCCUUAAACAAAUUUUAUAGUGUCGAAAACAAUUUGCUAUGUCUCUUGCUAAACAUUUGUUAUACAAGCAGGGAUUGCAAAAUUGAUAGCAUCCAAAACAUUAAUCUUUGCUGGAUCGGUUUUUCCUACUUCAUAGUCUUCUAAUAUCCUACGAUAAAAUUUGUUAUGAUAGUCCACCUUGAAAGCUCUUACUAUCCCAACAUCACAAGGUUGAAUUUUGGAUGUCAUGUUGGAUGGCAAGAAAAACAAUUCAACAUUUUGUAGUCCUUCAAUAUUUCUAUUAUGGGCUGGACAAUUAUCUACCAUAAGCAAAACUCGUCUACCAUGUAUUUUGUGGUCAAACCAACGAAUAUAUUCAUCUAAAAGCACACUUGUCAUCCAUACUCUUUUGUUUGCACGAUAAUGACAAUUCAACAAAUAUGAUACAUAAAUUAGUAAGAUAUAAUGAUUUUUAUGUAUUCGUUAUACUUUAUGUAUAAUAUUAUUUUAUGUGAAAUCAAUAAAUAUGAUACAUAAAUUAGUAAGAUAUAAUGAUUUUUAUGUAUUCGUUAUACUUUAUGUAUAAUAUUAUUUUAUGUGAAAUCAAUAAAUAUGAUACAUAAAUUAGUAAGAUACAAUGAUUUUGAUAUAAUCAAAAUUAACCUUUAUUAAAUCUCAAACCAUUCUUUAAAUUAUCAAAUAUUAAUUUAUCGAUUAAAUUAUAUCUCUAUAAAAUAAUAAAAUUUCAUGAUCCCGCCUAUAUUAAUUUAUAGAGGUUUUACUGUACUUAGUAAAUAAUAUUUUUGUCUAAAGGUAUCUUAGACAAAAUAAAUUAAAAUAUGAAGUAAUUAAGUAAUUUUUUUUAAAAAAAAUUGAAUUUGAAUUUAAAUCUAAAUCCAAAAAAUCAAGAACUUUUAAGUAGAGAAAAAAUAACAUUGAAUGUGGUUAUUUAAUUUUUUAAUUUCAAUUAAAAGAUCUUUCAAUGCAUGGAUGAUUUGUCAAUGGUGCAGCAAAAGGUUAGUCCUACUUUUCUUUUUGUGGAAUGUUUAAUGUUCGUUGUAAAAAUUUAUUAUGUAAACUAAAAUAUUUUUUAAAAAAUGAAAAUUGUUACAAAUGAUAAGUUCUUCAUAAUAUGAUAAGCAAUGAUACAUUUUUUUAUUUGAAUAUAUAUGUUAAAAUUAAGAAUCACAAAAACUAUUGGAUAAUCCGUUAUAAAUUCAAUAUUUUAUACAAUUGACGAUAAAUUCAAUAUUUUAAACAUAUGACGAUAAAUCAAUAUUUUAAAGCAUAAAUUAUAAGAUUGACACGAUGAAAUACGUUGUCCACUUUUAUAUGUAAGUUUUUUUAAUUGACAAAAUAAUCAAGAUGUUGAGUUGCCUGGAAGGUCACUAACUGAAACCUAAUUAAUAGAUAUUGAAUAAUAAAAUAUAUUAAUUUAAAUUCAUUUGUAGCUAAUAUCAUUAAUUAAAACUAAAAAUUAAAGAUAUCAUAUUGAAAAAUAAAAAUAAAAAUAGUUCAAAAUCAUGCUUUAAAUUAAGGUAAAACACAAUGAAUAAAUUAAUUAAAGGUAGUAUGGUAACCAAAGGUUGACUAGAGGAUGAUAGGGGUUGUGUGAGCGCAUUUAUGAUUUUCACUAAUUUAAAAAAUAAAUAAAUAAAAUAGCUCUAAAACUUAUGAACUAACCUUAUAUUGAUUUAUUGUCAUAAAGUAUUUUAUUAAAUAAAUGGUGAGGUGCUAAAUAUGUUAACAUUCUCUCAUAUAUAUAUAUAUAUAUUUUAUAAUAUCAUUUUACAAUAUGUCAAAUCUUUAAAUUACUUAUUAUGAACUUUAUCAAUGGACAGCGCAUCGCACGGGUACGUAUACUAAUUUUUAAAAUAUAUGAGAUAUAACUAGUACAACUUGUAUCAGGGUAUUGUUUUUUUAAUUUAUAUUCUAACCUAGAAAUCCGUGUUCUAUUUUUCUUUUUUGUCUUUGAUUUCUCUUUCAUGCUCUACUGUUUCCUUUUUUUUUUCUCCUUAUUUUUUUUUAUUUUUUUUAUAAAUCUAUUUUGAAAUUAAUUUAAUUAUUGGUGUAUAUGAAAAAAUAAUUUAUUUUUUUACUUAUUUAGUUUAACAAAAACAUUUUUUAAAAUUAUCAUAGUUAUCAUCAAAUAACUACAUAGGUAUCAAUAGUCAAAUUUAAAAAUUUAAAAAUUUAAAAAAUAAUUAAUAAGACUAGUUUAGUAAAAUGAAUCUUUAACAUAAAUACAAUAAAAGAUGUAUGAAACUUAUAAAAAAAAAUAGUGUAACAGUUAUUAUUAAAGUUGCACAUUAAAAAUUAAGGGGUUAUGAGCAUAGAAAACAUGAUUAUGGUUAUUAUUAUUUGGCAUUUGGCUCUAGAAUUCAAACAUAUAUUUUUUUACUGUAUUUGAAAUAAAUGAAAUUAUAGUUGAACAUGGAGUCAUGUUUAUUUUUGCAAAACAAAAUAUUUGAAAUGAUAUUCAUGUUUGAAUGUACUUAAAUAUAAUUUUAAAAAUCAAAAGCGAGUUGAAAAAUCAGAUUAUCUAACAUGUUUUCCAAAUUUGAAAUAUAUAUUCGAGUUGAAAAAGUUGUAUUCAGAUGUUCAUUAUCAAACAUCAAUUUUUAAAUUAAGUGAAAAAAUAUCAUUUUUUAAGAAAUAAUUCUUAUGUUUGAAUGAGUCCUAAAAGUAGAAGUUAAAAAAUAUGAAAUAUGAAGAUAAUUUUUUUAAAGUAUGAUUAAUAGAAAAUUGUCUUGUUUCAAAUAUUUUUUUCUAGAUUUCCAAAUCAUUUUGUAUAGUUGUCUAUCAAUCUAUGUCAUCCUUAUUUCAUAGUUAAUUACUAUCAAUUAAAAUUACCUAGAUUUAUAGUUAUAGAGAGAAAAGCAAAAUAUAAGACAUUAAUUAUUAUCCAUAUUAAUUAGAAGAUGAUCUAACUAACAUGGAUAAUCACUACCUAAAAUGCUAAAAAUAAAUAAAAAAUUAUUAGUCAAAAAAUAUAAUUUAUGACUUUUGACUUAUAGUCAUAAAAAAAAGAGAGUCAAACAAGCUCUAUGAAACAACUAUAAAUAAGGGUGUAUACUAGAGAAGGUAAAAUAAAACAUUGAACUAAUUAAUUAUAAGAAAAUGAGUUUUCUUCCUUAUUGGUUUUAUCAUUUUUAUUAUUUCUUCAACAAACAAAUGCUAUUAUUGUUCAUGUAGUUGAUGGUAUAGCAAAAAAUGAUCCUCAAUUGAUAUAUCACAGUGCAUCUAGAGGUGAUGAUCUCGAGAAGCAUUAUCCCAAAUUUAAUGAUGAUUUUCAUUUCUCGUUCAAAAAAUAUAUAUUCUCUGAUGGUGUCUUUUUGUCAUUUUUGGUGGGGUCAAAAAAACAAUAUUAGAUUUAAAGUGUAUAGAGAAACUGGAGCUUGUGGGCAUGAAACAGGAGGAUCUAACAAAGGAAUAUGUUAUUGGUUAGUUAAAGAAGAUGGUUUCUAUUUUGCUAUUAAUGACAAUCCUCCUCCAUCUACUUUUGUUAGACAAUUUGGUUGGUAAAAAAUUAAUGUAAUUUAAUAUUUGUUCUCCAAUUAUAAUCUGAAAUGAAAAUGAAAUUUAUUAUGAAUAUGUCAAUUCCUAUAGUGGCUUUAUUUCAUUGUAGUUAGCUAAUAUAUUGAGAUUCAUGAGAAUGAUCGGGUGGUUGAAAUUUUGAUACUAUGAAUAUAGUUGAGUAAUUAAGAAUAUAUAUUUUGAGGACACCAUUAAUCUAGCUAUAACUGAGACACCAACAUUGAUGAAUCGAACGUAUAACAUUAAUGACAUUGUACUCGUCCGCCUCAUCCGCUAGCUCUUAGUCAACUAACCAAAAACUAUGUACGGGGAUUUUCCUUUCAUCAUAUGAAUUUCCUUUUUAUUGUUUUUUCUUCCGUUUUAAAUGUCUUUUUCUCGCCUAUUAAAGACACCUUUGUGUGAAAUUUUUGUGUUGCUAUUGGUCCGUUCUUUUUUAAUCCAUGAUAAUUAUUACAAAAUAUUGAAAUCUCAUUCUCAUGUAGGUGAUUAUCCACUUGAAAUCGAACAUCAGGUUACCUCUCUUGUUUUCAUUCCAUCGUGAAAAGGUAGAGGACAAAAUUAACCCUACCAACAAUUAUUACUAUCCCCCUAUUUAUAAAACAUGUACUUCUUGACCUAGUGUUUUGGUUACUUUUAAGAUUUCAAAAUUCUCAAUCAACUCUAUUAAUCAUUAAGUUACGCCGUUAGAUACAAAAAUAGAAUAGAUAAUUUGCUAUUACAUGUUACUAUGCUAUAAUGUAAUAGUAUUGUACAAUGUAUACAACUCGAACUAUUUCAUAGUAUAAUUUUAAAACAACUCUAUUAUGGUCAAUUGAAAAUCAUAUUGUUUCUAAUAAAAUUGUCUAGAUCUCAAAAUCAUUAUGUAUAGUUAUUUUAUUAUCAUAAUCUAUUAGAGGAUGUUUGGAUUGACUUAAAAGUUGGUCAAAUCUAUUUUUUACAUCAGUUUUUAAUUAUUGAAAGUGUUUGACAAAUAUAAAAAUAGCUUAAGAUAAAUAAAAAAAAUGACUUAAAAUAAGUUGGGAAGUGUUUGGCAAGGUAAAAAAUAACUUAAAAUAAGUUUAAAAUGACUUAAAAUAAGUCAAAAACCCAUAGUAGGUCUCCCCCAACUUUUUUAUUUUUUGAUUUAAAAGUUAUUUGAGUUUGACUUUUUAUUUUUGACUUAAAAUCUACUUUUUUUAAGCCAAUCCAAACGAACUCCUAAAAUUAAAGUUGGUCAAAUCUACUUUUAAGUAAGUUUCUUACUUCUAAAAGUGUUUGACAAAUAUAAAAAUAACUUAAAAUAAGUCAAAAGCGACUUAAAAUAAGUAAGGAAUUGUUUGACGAAGUUAAAAAUAACUUAAAAUAAGUUUAAAAUGACUUAAGAAAAGUUAAAAACCAAAAGUAGGUCUCUCCCUACUUUUUUAUUUUUUGACUUAAAAGUCAUUUAAAUUUGACUAUUUAUUUUUUGACUUAAAAAUAAUUUAAGCUUGACUUUUUAUUUUUUGAUUUAAAAGUUAUUGAAGUUUGACUUUUUAAAUUUUUGACUUAAAAAUCAUUUAAUUUUGACUUUGUAUUUGUUGACUUAAAAGUCAUUUAAGUUUAACUCUUUUUUUUUACUUAAAAGUCAUUUAAGUUUGACUUUUUAUAGUUUUAACUUAAAAAUUACUUUUUUAAGCCAAUCAAAAUGAGCUCUUAUAAUCUAUGUCAUCCUAAUCUCAUAGUUACUAUCAAUUAUCAAUUAAAGCUACCUAGACUAUUAGAGAGAGAAAAGUAGAAUAUAAACACAAAUUAUUAUCCAUAUUAUUAAUUAGAAGAUGAUCUAACUACCAUAGAUCAUUACUACCUAAAAUGCUAAAAAAUAAAUAAAAAAUCAUUAGUCAAAAAAUCUAAUUUAUGAUUUUUGACUAAUGAGUCAUAACUGAAAAACUAAUUCAAACAAGAUUUAAGAAACAACUAUAAAUAAAGGUGUUUACUAGAGAAGGUAAAAUGAACAUUGAACUAAUUAUAAAAGUAUGAGUUUUCUUUCAAUGAAAAAUUGUUUUUCUUCCUUAUUGGUUUUAUCAAUUUUAUUAUUUGUUCAACAAACAAAUGCUGCUGCUACUUGUCAUAUAGUUGAUGGUAUUGAAAAAAAUGAUCCACCAAUAAAAUUUCAUUGUGCAUCUGGAAAUGACGAUCUCGGGAUACAUUAUCCUAAAUUCAACGAUGAUUUUCAUUUUAAGUUCGGAUUUAAUUUGUUUCGUGAGACGGUGUUCUUUUGUCAUUUUUGAUGGGGUACAAAAGAUGUUAAGGUUGAAGUGUACAGAAAUAGCGAAAAUUGUGGUGCUGAAGGGGGACUUGACUCAGGAACAUGUUAUUGGUUAAUUAAAGAAGAUGAUUUCUAUUUUUCUCCUAAAUAUAAUCCUCCUGCAUCUGAGUUGAUUAGAAAAUAUGGUUGGUAAAAAUUAAUGUAAUUUAAUUGAGUAGUACUCAUGAAAUGAAAAAAAUACUUUAAUUUUUAGUUUCAAAAUUGUGUCACAAUCAAAAUUCAGUAAUUAAAAAUUAUACCAUUAUUUUUAAUAUGUUCAGGCCUAUAUAUUGAUAUUGAGUCAAGAACAAUUAAGAGUUUUAAUUAUAUAAAAUCACCAAGUGAAAAGGAAAAAAUUAGCAAUCAUUAAAAGAUUUAGCUACCAAUAGUACAUCAAGAUGAAGUAUUUAAUAAAGUAUUAGUAUAAUUGACCCUUCUAAUUUAUAGAUCGUGACGGAAUAUAAUACGUUAAUUGAAAUGAAGAUAAAUAGAGUUUCGUACGUUAAUUGAAAUGAAGAUAAAUAGAGUUUCGUGUAAAAGAUAGAACGAUAAAAAACUCUUCAUGUACUCUUUUUAAAUUUCAUCAAGCCUAUCUGCUCAAUUUGCUUCAUAUUAGAGUUUAUGGUUUUAAGAUCACACCUUUAAUAUGGUUGUGUUCGCCAACUACACGAUACUUAGCACAAACAUCAAGUAAAUGAUAUCACACACUAUAAAACCUCCUAAAACGUGAAGAAUAUUGUAUAAGCUGAUUGAAUAAAUUAAUUCAUUUUUGUAUAUGAAUAUUUAUUUUGGGUAAUAUUUAAAGUACAACUUUUCUAGGGGAAUUUUCGCAUAUAGCCAUUCAAAGAUAAUUUUAUUGUGUUUCAUAACUAUAGUUUGUUAAUUAUGAUUCUGUAAUAUUCCGUAACUUAAAAUACAUUUGCGACUCGUAAACACCAAUGUAUAGAUGUGAUAUUGGGAGAGGUAUAUCAUUGAAAAUGGUUAAGCACACCAUGUAACCCUUACAUUUAGUCAUUUUAAGGGUUAAACAAAAGUUUUAGGCCAAAGAGAUCAUUAAAGAAAAGAUUAAAGUUUAAAGGUUCGUUGUGGAGGAAUACUACAAAUGAUCUCAUUUCUCAUCUGACUUUGAAUGAGUAUAUCUCCUAAUAUAUAAAGAGUUAGAACGCCUACAACCUAUCCAAUUGAAGGUAUUUGAGUCUAGUUUCCAGCAAAAUAAACCGCUCGUUAAAACGAUAUCGGAGUAAAAAGUUAUGUUCAUUCUACAACAGUACGCGCGCACUGACCAAUCACUGCGGGACAUGUGGCACUUUAGAGAAAGUCGGCCAAACUUGUUAUUUUAUAUUAGAAGUUUGGGAUAUACUUUCUCAUAUACUCAAGAACUUGUAAGGACUGGUUUCAAGUAUUUCUUCAAGUUUUCCUCAUCUUCAAUCCACCAAAGCUUAAGGUAAGUUGGUUUCUUCAAAAAUCAAGUGUCUUCCUUUCCAUAUACCUAUAUAUAUACUUAGCUAAAUGUUUUCUUGAAGGAAAAAGUAUUGUUCUUGGAGAAUAAAGAAGGGUAGGGGCUGGUUUUCUUUGAUAUAUAGGUAUGAAUCCUCUUCUAUCUUCAUAAAUAGUAUUCCAAGGAUGUUUUAAGUAUAAUUUGCAGGUAGGACUCACGGGACGGUGAUAGGAAGCCGUGAGUCCAUGGUUUACCCAUUGUAUUUGAUGUUUUGGUGAGGAUGGAGUUUGUAGAAGGUUGUGUUGGCUGUGGUUUUGACCAAAUGAGGGGUCAAUAGUAUUGUAUUAGGGAGGUAAGCUGGUUACAUUAAAACGGAAGGCGAUGUAUAGAGAACGCGACUAUUAUAGUUCUUGAAAGUUUGUCGUUCACCAAGUGUUUGAUGAAAUUCCUAAGUCGUUAAGAAUAUGUUGUAGCUGGUUAUAUGAACUCCUAUUAUUUUAAUUUAUGGCAUUAGUUCUCUACCAACUUAAACUAUGAGCUUAUAAAGGAAUUUGACAUCAUUAACAAGGAACCGGUGGGAUGGUGAUCGGAGGCCAUGAGUUUUACUUUUAUGUUAAGUAUGGAUGAUUAACGGGGCUGGUUCUUUAUGGUUAAAGUAUGAUAAGUAAUACUGAACAUGUAAAUAAGUCAUAAGCCUACUUGGAAUGUAGAGAAAGAGAAGGGUGUGGUGAUACACCAUUCAUCUAUGGUAAUUAUUGAGUUUGUCGCUCGCGAACCAUUAUUGUGUUUUUGGCAUUAUUGUGACUCUUGAUUAGUUUCUUGUACUAUCCUUUUAUGAUUUUAUGUUAUAGAUAAAGUUGUUAGCAAAGGAGUUUGACGACGUAAGAUAGUAAGUCCCGAAUUAAGGUAUGUAAAGCUGAAACCUCUUUUACCCUUAAGGUAGGACCUAAACUCGCAUGUUCUUCUGAUAAAUGUCACUAUAGAUUUUAUAAACCCUCUCAUGUUGGGUCCUAAACCUAUAGAGUUAUAGUACUCUUAAAGGAAGCAAUAUGUUUCACACAACUACAUUUAUCCACAGUUGGAACUCUUAGAAGUUAGCGGUGUACAUGUUGCAUAAAUUUAAAGAAAGAAGCCAACCACAGACUGUUCGUAAGUGCAUAGGUUACCAUAUAUAUGAUUCUCAAGCUAAAAAAUAUAAUCACAAAUUGUAUCACGAGCUAUGUGGUUAAUGAAUUAAUUAUUAUAAAUAAUUGCAAGCAGUUGAGAUUAUAGACUACUCCGCAGCGUAGGGUGGGUAUAUUUAGGGCUACUACGUGCGACGCUACUCUGUGCACAGAAUUCAGAUAUGGUCAGCUGAAAUUCCUAUCGUGGAUUCACCUGACUGAUACAGGCUUGCGGGAAGACCAUACAAGAGCCCUGGGAGGCGUACCUUGAUAGACCUCGUUACCAGACUAUGAGAUUUCACGCCUGGUUGUGACAGUGGGCUACAGAUGCCAUACAGGGUUCACUAAUCGCCGUCAGUAGGCCAUCAUGUGAUUCCCUGACAGUUAGUUUUACAAAGAGCAAAUAAGCGAUAUAAUGAAGUAAAGAUAUCACCUAGGCAAAUUAUAGGGAUUAUAUAUAUAAAUGACUAAGCCAUAAAACGUUCGAUGAGGACCAUUGAGGUUGGUCACAAUUCAAGUUACAGAUUAUGUCUCCUGCAUACACAUGCUCAGAUUUGCCUAUCAUGAUAUUUGAUGUCUAUUGUUAUUCAUUUUGCUUUACAUACCAGUACAUGUUUUGUAUAUACUAACGUCCCUAUUAUUUUGGCAUUUCAUUUGUAUCACUACAGGCUUAGGUACUCAGGACAACAAGCAUUUUCAGUAGACUAGAGACUUCCAAUUUAGUAGUUGGUAAGCUCCACCUCUACCUAGAGCUAUCAAAUAUUUGGAGCCUAUAUUUUGCUACAUAUGUACAUAUAUCAGAAUGGGUAUGUCGGGGCCCUGUCCCAACUAGUUAUUAGAUUCUCAGAGGCAUACUCUUUAGAGGCUUCGUAGACUUAGUCCUGUUUCCGUUGUAAAGUAGCCCAACGGGCCCUUUUGUUAUUUAUGUUUUAGUAUGUGUCUUCAUAUAGGUUCCGAUGCUUAUGAAUCUUCAGCUUUGGCAUGAGAUUAGUAAGAUAUUUAGCAGGUGCUUGUGUAUAUCCUUGAUGUUUGCCCCUUUCUAGCUAGGGGUGUGACAGAUUCGUAGCUACAUGUUAGAAGGGAGGAGAGAGGCGAGCGAGAGAGAGAGUAAAUAGUGGAGAAAUAUGAAUUGUGUAUGUAUAUUUGUCGGAUUGUAUAUGUAUAUCUGUCAAAUAAUUAUAUAUAUGUAACUGGUAUGCAUAUAUAUUUGUAUAUCGGGCGAGCGAGAUUGAGAGAGGGAGGAGAGAGUGAGCGAGAAAGGGCAGAGAGUGGAGAAACACAAAUUGUAUAUGUAUAUUUGUCAGAUAGUUCUAUAUAUGUAACUGAUAUACAUAUGUAUUUGUAUAUCUGGCGAGCGAGAUUGGGAGAGGGAAGAGAGAGGCAAGCGAGAUUGGGAGAAGGAGGAGAGAGGCGAGCAAGAGAGGGCAGAGAGCCGAGAGAGACUAGUUGUAUUCAUAUUUAUGUUAGAUAAUUGUAUAUAUAAUGUGUAUAAUUUGUAUGUGCAUAUUUAUAAGUGUUGUAAUUACAACUAAAAUUUAGUUAUAAGCCGUAAUUAAUUCAAACUAUAACCAUAUUAGAUAAUUAACUAGUAUAUGUUUGUUUAUCGCGUAAUUUUUCUACUAUGUAGAUUAUGAUUUUGAUUUGAAAAAACUUUUUCUUUUGCUUAAAAAGUACACGUGUCAGCCCAUUAAACCUCACUCCACGUCAUAGUUGUAACUGCAGGUGGGUAUAACAAAUAUAAAUAAAUAACAUUAUUAAAAAAUAAAAAUAAAAAUCCAGAAAAAAAGCAAAAAUAGAUAACAGAAAUUUAAAUUUUUAAUGCUGUAAUUUUACAGAAAAGGAAAAAAAAGUUUUUUAUUUCUUCUUCUUCGAUCUCCUCAGAUCCCCUAUUUCUGAAUCGAAUUUAGGGCUUGUUUUUCGCCCCAUUUUUUCCGAAAAUUCAAUUUUGGCCCGUUAUGUACUCGGAUUUUUAACCGUUUUACUCCGAAAAUUGAGGAUUAGGAUUUGUUUUUUUUGUAUACAAAAACAAUUUUUGUAUAUGAAAUGAAAUGUAGAUUGAUUGAUCUUUUUUUUAUAGGAGAAUUUUGGGGCUUAUUUUUAGGGUUUUUAGAUGAGGAUUUAAGAGGAAAGAUUUUAUUUUUUGAGGAUUUUGGAUGGCAUCAGCUCAGGUACUAAAAAAGCAAGAGCAUUUGCAAGCUGGGAAAAAGAAGGUAAUUGGGUUUUGUUUGAAUUAUGGAGAAAGGGUUUGUUUUGGUUUGGUUGAAUAUAGUUUGUUUACUUGAAUGUUUGUUAAGUACUACUUCUAUUUAACUCCUUGAUAAUGUUAAAGAACUGAAUUCUGAAAAAAGGUUUUGUUUUGGUUUGGUGAAUUUACUGUAUUUACUUGAAUUUUUGCUCAUUAAUAGUUCUAUUUAACUGGUUUGGAAUGUUAAUGAGCUGAGUUCUACUGGGAAUGUUAGUAGUUGAGUUAGUUGGCUACCUGAACUUUAGGGAGUGUGAUUUCCACCUUGUAAAAGAGUUGAAUUCUAGGUGGAAUCGUAGUAGCUUAGUUGGUUGACUAGCUGAAAUUUUGUGUGUUUGAUUCCCCACCUUGUAAUCCACUCCCCAUUUUCCCUUAAUGAAAAAAAAGGAGCUGAAUUCUAUUUUUGGAGAAGGUUUUAAAUGAAUGGCAUUCUACUUGGAGUGAGAAAUAAUGAGUGAUUGUAAUUUGUAGAGUCUUUUGAAUUGUUAUAAGUACCUUUAGAUAGUUAUCAUCUACUCGAAGUGAUGGACGGACUCCCUUUAUGUAUUUUCAAGAAUGUGAAGAAAAAAAUUGAGGCGCACUGUCUAUUUUAUCCUUAAUCAUCCGUGAACAAGGAUUACUACUUGAAUUUUGAUUUGUGAAAUCGAACUUUAAUCAAGAUGUGAAUGGCGUGGCCCCAUCCUCACCCCAUCAGUAAAUUCUACUAUUCUAGUGUUUUACUUGGAGGCAAUUUCAUGUAUGAAGUUAAAACACACCAAGAUUUAGGUUUGAGGUUGAAGAUUGAGAAGGUUCUUUUUGUCAAUAUUUAUUUUUCAUGACCGGUGGUUGAGUAAUUUCUAGAGUUCAACUUUUAUAGACAGUUCUAUUCAAGUGGGGCUGACAGCGAAAGAUCACUGCCUAGAUCUUCUUCCAUAGGGGAAGUGCUUAUAUGUCUUAAUACUUGAACGGAUCUAGCAUGAAAUGAGCUUAUAAUGUCAAUAAGAUACUUCACCUUAUAAAAAAAAGGAAAAAAACCACUAGGUGAUGCUUUACAAAAGGCUUGGUUGUACACAGAUUUGAUUAUUUCAGGCUUGUAUUUACCCAAAAACUCUGAAACAUAUAAUCAAGUAAAGCUGGUCAAGGACUGAUUCAGAAGAUAGCAAACCAGUGAGUCUGGUCUGAAGCAUAUCUUAGUUCUGAUCAAUCUGAUCUUUUUAGGUAGAAGUGAACAUUAGCGAAAAUCAGUGUGUUGAGAAUUGAGAUAGCUGUUUUUAUGCUUAUCUCUAGCUGUAUAGCUUACAAUAACUAGCAACAGGUAUUAUUUCAGGGCAUCUUCUAUUGAAGCACUUGUUAACAUUGGUAGAAGAUAGCAAACCAGUGAGUCUGAUUUGAAGCAUAUCUUAGUUCGGAUUAAUCUGAUCUAUUUAGGUAGAAGUGAACAUUAGCCAAAAUCAGUGUGUUGAGAAUUGAGAUAGCUGUUUUUAUGCUUAUCUCUAGCUGUAUAGUUUACAAUAAUUAACAACAGGUAUUAUUUCAGGGCAUCAUCUAUUGAAGCACUUGUUAACAUAGGGUUUAAACUUGCAAAACAUAGUCAUUUGUCAGUGCAAAGAUUUUAAUAUGUUGGGCUGACUGGUUUGUAGGUACUUCUUUUCUUCCUUAUGUGCAACCAAAGGUGGUAUCCUAGGCUGCCACAUCAGUGCUGAUAUCUUUUGAAAGCACAUUGAUGCUGAUUUCUUUUGAAAGAUCGCACCUUAAAGGGCUCCAGAAGCCAUCUUUCAAAAUGUUAAUUUGUUAUUUACCUUGUCAUUUUAAACAAUUUUAAUACUUGUAUUAGCCGCACUGGCAAUUCCCAUCUUUAAGGAAUCUGGGUUCAUACCCUGGUAGCUGAAAUACUCUUUCUUGAGCGGAGGGUCAUUUGGAAACAACCUCUCUCCCUCCAUGAGAUAGGGAUAAGGUCUGGGUACACUCUACCCUCUCCAGACCCCACUUGUGAGAUUUCAUGGGUAUUUGUUGUUGUUGUUGUUGUAUUACCUUUUUUUUUUUUGGAAUAUUGUGACAUCAAGAACUCCUAAGAAAUUAAGUAGGUAUUGCCAACAAGUUGUGGCAUCCUGCUAAAAUUAUGGUUAUCAUCACAAGAUGUUACCAACCUCUAAAUUAAUCUUCUUGCAUAGUGAAGUAGGUUGUAGGAUACACCCUUUUUGCUUUUUGUCUUUUCUUUUGAUUUCACUAAGUUGCAAUUGCCUUGUCUUACUAAAGAAUAUCUGGUUUUGUACAUUACACACAUCUUUAGUUUACCCUCUUUCUGUAUUUGGAAACUUUUUAAUUUUGAACUUCCCAUUCUGUGGUAUGGAUUGUAACUUUCCAUAAAUUUCCCAUUUGUCACGCAACGACGGAACCUUGCUUUAACCGUGACAAAAAGAUUUUUUAGCCAUAGAAGUGCUAUGUGAUAUUUAAGUUCACAAGUUCUAAGGAUACUUUUGAUAAGUUCUCUUUCUUUCUUAACCUAAUUUCCCAGUCAUACCAACAUAUAAAAUGAACCCAGGGGAGUCUGUAUCAAUUUGUUAGUUUUCUUUACUCAAAUUUCCCUCUUAAAUGAUCCAUUCAUGAUUAAACCUUAGUGCUUGGUUCUGUCCUUUCUUUUAUCUGGCUUCAUUUUUACCAUCUUAUUGUCUGACGUUUGGUCUGGCAAGUGGUAACGGAUUCUCUAACUGAUUAUAAUUGGUUCACCUGUUUUAAAUUUUGUCUGAGGCAUACUUGUCUAGGUGUCUAUAAAAGCCUGAUGUAAUUAGUCACGUUGCUUAUCAAAAAAUGUAUUUGAUCAUCUGAACUCCAAUUACAGAUAUUUCUAGGAUUGUUUGGACAAGGUUUCUGGAAUGUAUGAUGUACUUAUUUUAUUUAUUGGAAUUAGUUUAAAUGAGUUGUGUCAUAUAUACAUGGCAAAGUCACUUUCUUUUUUUUUUCUAUCAAUUUUUGUAAUCAGACGGCUGGAUGAGUCGGUCGUUUGCAGUAUUACUUUAAUUUGAUGUAUGUGAUUUGCUUUCUUGGUUGAAUUCAAUGAAACCAGGGUGAGCUUGAAGCCGUGAAAAUGGAAUAUGCAAAUGUACAAUUGGAAUGUAAUGCUGCUGAUGAGCGUGCCAAAGUGUUGGCUUCUGAAGUGAUUGGCUUGGAAGAGAAGGUAAUUAACUGCAGUAUUCCUGUCUGUUGACCCAAAUAAUUUCAUAGGAAUGUCUAUACCAAAAUAAUUGUCAGGCAUGUAGUGAGUUUAAUUUAAUUUUAAUACUACAUGUAGUUGUCCUCUUUGUUACUGGUUUCACAUUUAAAUUUGAAAGUUGUUUAACUUGAUUACCAUAUAUCAUAGACUGAAUUAGUGUAAUGUCAUUUACAUUUUAAAAUUAUAAUUUAGUGAUAAAAUUUUAAAAUUUAAUGAUAACUUUAAUCACGUCAGGAAACACAUGAAGAACAAAAUAAAAAUAGAAAAACUUAAAGUUACUGGAGAAAUGUGUUUUCCGGCCAGAUUUGGUUGUUGGUGGUUGUUCCGUUGUUGAACUUUAAAGCUUGCUGGUUUUAGAGUUGAAUCUGGUUGGGGUUUCGGGUUGGUUUCGCUUGGAGUUCACCGGAUUUCACCGGAGAAGACACAAAGCAGCAACGUUGUGAGCUUUGAACUACUGGAGCUCGUCGAUUUGAGCAAAAAACACCUGAAAACAAAAGAAAAUUGUGAAGGGGAAGAGGGGAAAUGGACUGGCGUGGUGGAUCUGUUGUUGUUGGCCUUUCUGCCGAAGCCAAAAGAGUUGAACUGUAAAGGGGCUUGGUGGUUUUGGGUCUGGUUGUGUUUUGCUGCUUCUUUGUGGUGGUUUUAGUUGAGGAGAUGUAGCAAUGAGUGAGGUCUUUGCUGGUUCUGUUUGGCAGUGGGCGAUGGUGGCUUGCCGGAGAGGGUUUUGUGGACUUCAGGCGUGAAGAAGAAGGAAGAUGGAGGGGUUUUUCUGGUGGCUGGUUGGGUUGGAGAAGAAGAGUGUGGUUUUUGCAACGAGAGUUGUUGGUCGGAAACGGAAAAGAAGGAGAUGAUGAGGAAGGAGGGUGGCGGCUAAGGGAGGAAAAUGGGAGAGGAAAAAAUUAGGGUUUUUGCCAUUUAGGAAAUUCUUACCCCUUCUAAAAAAUAAUUCACCACCUUGACUUAAUGAAUAAGCUAUUGUUUAUAUAGAAAAUUGAAAUCUACCUAUAGUACGAUACCAUUAUCUUAAAACCAUGGGCUGAAACCACUAGUUAAAGAAAAUAUCUGUGUAUGAAAUCUUAUCUAUAUUUAAAUAAAUUUCUAGAUUGUGCAAAAUAUUUAAAUUAAUAUUAAAAAAUAUAACAAAUAAAAAUGAAUAUUAAAAAAAUGUAAUGAACGUAACUAAUGAGAUAUAAAAAAUGCAAUUUAAUAGAAAUAACGAUUUAAUCAAAAUGAACAAAUAAUUGAACGUAGUCAACUAGUUGUGACAAAAAUAAUGUAAUUAAAAUUAACUGAUAAAAAAUUCUAAAAUUUUGACAAAUAAAGAUAAAUAUCAAUAAGCUUACUUAGAAUGUAUUUUGACCUAUUGAAUAAAUAAAACUUAAAAGCUAUGAAUUUUGAAAAUGUUAGGCCAAAAUUGGGUGUCAACAAUGCCAAUUCAAAAAAAAUAAUGUUUUUGUAGGAAUUUUUGGAAAAAAAUCAAGAAAAUUGGAUACACUCUCUCUGUCCGAGUUUAUAUGACUCACUUUUCUUUUUGUCAGUCCUUAUAAACAAAAUGACACAUUUAUAUAUUUAGUAACAAUUUAAUUUUAAAAUAUCAAUUUUACCUUCAAUGAAAUAAUUUAUAGCCACACAAACAUCUAUCACUUAUUUUAUUUCACAAAUUUCAAUCUUUAUUUUUGAAUUUCAUGUCAAAUCAGAUUAACUCAUAUGAAAUGGGACGGAGAAAAUAAUAAGAUAUCGGGAAGAAACUGGAUAGUUUCCCAUAAAAGAAAUAAUUAAAAAAUCCUCUCUUAGAUUCUUUUGGUUGACAUUGGACAGUUUUUUCUUUCCCAAAUUCUCCUCAAAUCCACCACUUAAUUACCCCAACUGCCACUUCAUCUUCACUCUCCUCCCAUGGCUACUCUGCAAACUCAUCUCCAUUUUCCCAUCUCUUCUUCACCAAGAUUGUUCCAUUUCAAAAACCCCAAUUCAGUUUCUUUCUCAAAAAGGCUUUUUUUCUCCAGAAAGCUUAAUGGGUUGUUUAGUUAUGCUGAAUUUGGUGCAAAAGAUUCAUUCUUUUGUUGUUGUCAAGCUAGUGGUGAAAUUUUACCCCUUUCAUCAGCUCAGAAGGAGAAGGAGACUAAUGAAAGGCCUCCUUUUGAUAUCAAUUUGGCUUUCAUUCUUGCUGGUUUUGCUUUUGAAGCUUAUACUAGUCCUCCAGUAAAUUCUCAAUCUUUAUAUGUUCAUUUUUAUGUUUUUCUCUGCUCAGUUGGUUGGUUAUUAAACUUGUUGUUGAGGGGUUCAAUUUCUACCCUGUAAUACCCUACCUCAUUUUUGAAAAUUAAAACAUUAAAAAAAUAAUAUGAAAAAUAGAUUCUAAUAGAGCAUGUCUUUCGGAAAUAGUCUCUCUACCUCCACGAGGUAGUGGUAAGGUUUGCAUAUAAGGGGAAAAUGAAAGUGCGCUCGUGUGCACCAGCUGAAGAAAGGAGCUUUGGAAGCUUACCUUAUUAUUAUAUUAAAAGGGGAAAUCUACCCUCCCCAGACUCCUCUUGUGGGAUUUCACUGGGUAUGUUGUUGUUGUUCAUUGUAUUCUAAUAGAGCAAAUGGUAUUGAGGUGUAGUUGAUUGGCUUAAAAAAUCAAUUUUUUUUUGUAAAUAAGUGUUGAUAGGUAGUUGUAUUUCACUGGGUAUGUUGUUGUUGUUCAUUGUAUUCUAAUAGAGCAAAUAGUAUUGAGGUGUAGUCGAUUGGCUUAAAAAAUCAAUUUUUUUUUGUAAAUAAGUGUUGAUAGGUAUGUAGUUGUUCAUUUUUCUAUUUCUUUCUUUAUUAAUAAAUUGAAAAUGGACUUGAAUAGAGUGUAUGGAUAUCGGGGAUUCUUGUAGUAGCUAACUCCAACUAGUUUGUAAUUGAGGUGUAGUUGAUUGAUUGACUAAAGAUUUCUCUUUUUUUGUAAAUAAGAAUGUUAAUAUGUAUGUAGUCUUUUUUUUAUUUUAAAUAAAUUGAAAAUGGACUCGAAUAGAGUGAAUAGAUAUUGAGGAUUCUUAAAGUGGACUCCAACUAGUUUGGGGUUGAGUUGGAGUUGAUUGAUCGACUGUUGAUUCAUUUUUUGUAAAUAAGCAUGAUGAUGUGUAUUAGCUGUGGAUUGGAGGAAGGAAAUUGCUUGCCAAAGUAUCUUGCAUUGUGGGUUCUUUUCAGUUUGGUGCUGUAGAAGUCAUAGAGGACAUGCUCGUAAAGUAUUAUUUUGUGCUGCCUUUAAAGUUGUGAUCUUUGAGUUUCAGUAAUUCGUUUUCAUUCGUAUUAUUGUUUUGGUAUCUUAUCACUCUGUUGCGAUUCUAGUUUAGGAAAUGAACAUAAAUGUGGUUUCCCUAUAGUAGUCAUACCCCACAAACUCAUGAUUCCCUAUAGUAGUCAUACCCCACAAACUCAUGAUAGUAAAUGAAGGGAAUAUUUUCUUCAUAAACAUAUAAGGUGAUGAUCACUUGCCUAACUGGAUUUUCGUUGAACUAAAUUUUGCUUAGAAGGAAAUUAAGCUUGCAAAUAUUCUACAAAUCUUGAUCCCCCAAGGCCUAGCUCGAGUGGCAAAAGGUGGAGGAUUUGUGGCUUAGGUCGCAGGUUCAAGCCCCACACCAUGCAAAGCGAAGCCCGGUAUUUAAGUGGAGAAGGGUAGAGGGGCGGGCCCAUUAUCCACCGAGUUUAGAAGGCUGUGAUUGGUCCAAAGGGCGGGUCACAGACGGAUUUCUCGGUUAUCAAAAAAAAAAAAAAAAAAAAAAUUCUACAAAUCUUGAAAUGUUUAUGAAGCAAAAAGUAAUUAAGCAGUUGAGUUAUUUUCCAAGUCUGAUCCAAUUUGCUUUGUUUGAUAUUGCUUGAUCAGGACAAUGUCGGAAAGCUUGAGGUGGAUGCAGCUAAUUGCAAAACCAUAUUUCUUUCAGAGUAUGUAGUUGUUUCUUUUAACUGAAACAGAAAACUUAAACUGUAGGAACUUGAGUUAUAGGUCUGUUAAAUUGGUCGGAUCAAGUAAAGGGCACACGUAUGUUCCACUAGUGACGGCUAUGAAGAACGCUCAUAUCCGAUUGUUUUUGUCUCAUUUAGCUUAGUUUGUUUUGCCUUUUCUUUUAAAUCAAAAUCGCCUUAGACAAUAUGUCAGGUUACCCAAAACUAGAUUCAUGCAUGUGCAACUGUCAUUUGUGCGUGAAAUUUAUGACGGCCAGUUGUUCGUAAAGCUAAAGAAAGGUCUCAAUUUACCUGCUAUGGAUCCUUGGGUAAGGUAUCUGCCAUUUAACAUUAGCAAACGAUCAAAUUUCAAUUGAAACGUGCCUUACUGUACUUUCCUUAUUCAAAUGAUUGCUUCUAAUGCAUUUAUUUAAUUUGCUGACUCCUGUUUUGAUUUAAUUGCUUACUUUUCUAACCAAAUUUCAGGGAACGAGUGAUCCGUAUGUGGUGUUACAGCUAGAUAGUCAAGUUGUCAAAAGCAAGGUGAAAUGGGGGUAGGUAGUUGGUCAUGUGUUAUACUGCAACCUUUUACUCUUUUCAGUUGGAACUUCUCUAGAUCUUGUAGGUUUACUUAACAAUGAAUCAGGAUCUUUGCAUGUAGUCAACAUAUUCCUGUGCAAGUAUUGCUUGCAUAAGCCGAAUGAUAAAGUGACUAAUAAGAGAGUCUAGAAGGUCUAUUAUGGUAGCUAAGUUCAGUCUUCUCUUCGGUUUGAGAAACAUAUCAAAUUUUUAGCAAAAACUUAUACUGGAUUAAGUAGAAUUCAAUAUCUUAUUUGAAGUUCCAUGCUUCUUAAUCCUUUUAAUUUGUCAUCGAGAAGGCUAAAGGUCUACAAUUGCUAUUUUCUGUUGGAGAAUAAAGCUAUCCUUUUCUUUGUUCAAAUUAUGCACUAUUUCAAUCUUGAAACAUCAUCCAAUAACGGAAAAAUUGUUAAUUUCAUGAAUUAAUGUUUGCAGGACAAAAGAGCCAACAUGGAAAGAGGAGUUUGCUUUAAAUAUUAAGCAGCCACCUCUGUAUGAUCUUCAGGUUGAUAACUUGAGUUCAUCCUUUCUCUCUAAUGGUUUAUUAAUUAAAGGAUAGCAUUCCAGAAACUGUAACAUUUUGCUUUUGAAAUAUGACUUCAAUUUGCUGUAACUUAGCUCUUCCACAUUAGAAAGUUAAUACACGGUAUGUGGUACGCUAAAUCUCCUAAUGAUAAAUGGGCAGCUCUAGUAAGAUAUGCAACUUGAAAAGCUUUAAGCUUUGUAAAUAUGCCAAUCUUCAGUAAAGGAUGCUUCCUAUGAACACUGCUAAAUUAACUGUCUUCUGAGUGACUGCUAUACAAUUAUGGACGUGUAGGCGAUCUUCCCAUAUCUAACAAUGUCUUUCCUGCUGAAUGCUAGUUUUGUAUUUCUACUUCCUGCUGAGAUCCAUAGUAUUAACCAAAUUGGAACAAACAGAAUCAGUCUUUUAAGGUUAUUGGCCUCGGGCUAGAACUUAGGGACCCAGAACUGCACAUCUUGGUUUAUGUUGUCUAAGAUAUCCACAACAGUCUGCUUCUGUCUUUUUAGCUACAGUCUUUAAAAUGAGGAACGACUUAUUUUUUCGUUAUUUUUGCCGUUAUCUGCUCGUUAGAGGAUUUUCGGAUGCAGUAUGCUGGCAUGACAGGUUUUUAGGUGCUCUUAUUUCUCAAUUCCAGAUCUGAUGAAUUAUUCAUUACUACUGUCAGCUUGCAGCUUGGGAUGCAAAUCUGGUGACUCCACAUAAACGCAUGGGAAAUGCAGCAGUUAAUUUGGAACACCUCUGUGAUGGUACGAGCUCAAGAAAUGGCUCUCAUGAUAUUGUGCUUCAAAUAAUUGUCUAGUUAUCACGUUGGCUAAAAUAUCAUUCAUGUAAAAUAAUGUUUGGCUUCCUUUCCAACUUAUCCCAUGAAAAUGGGGGAAGAAGUUCUGAGUUCAUCUUCAGUAUGCAUUUUGGUUGUGUUUUGAUGACUAUGUUGAAGGUGUCUCAUUGCUCAUAAAACAAAUUGACAAGGGAAGAACACUUCUUAAAGGAACCAAAUUAGUUUCAAUAGUUCUACACUUCUGAAUACUAUCAUAGCUGAUAUAAGAGCUGACAUAAGGGUUGCCCCCAAGGCCUAGCUCAAGUGGCAAAAGGUGGAGGAUUUGUGGCUUAGGUCGCAGGUUCAAGCCCCACACCAUGCAAAGCGAAGCUUGGUAUUUAAGUGGAGAAGGGUAGAGGGGCGGGCCCAUUAUCCACCGAGUUUAGAAGGCUGUGAUUGGUCCAAAGGGCGGGUCACAGACGGAUUUCUCGGUUAUCAAAAAAAAAAAAGAGCUGACAUAAGGGUUAGGCUGAUGUACAGAUUCCAUUGAUGUUUUAAUUUGUGAAAAUAACAUGUGCUUUUCUAGGAGAUUCUCAUGAACUGCUGGUUGAUUUGGAUGGAAUGGGCGGUGGUGGGAAGAUAAAGAUAGAGGUAAGUUGAUUUGAAUCUGGAAUAUUCAAGGUUCAAGAUCACUAAGACCUUGUUUAUGUGUAGGAAGCAAUCAGGUGUUUGGUGGUUCAUUUUCUUUUGGUUCUUCCUGACUGGAUCACUGGAACUUCUAUCUGAAUAUUGCUUUCUGGUUAAGAGUUAAUUUGUUUUUCGAACUUGUUGAGACAAAGAAAUAAAGUUUUUUCUAUUUAAUGGAAUUUCCGACCUUCAUUUUACAAGGAUCCAUCAGACCAUCACAUUAUUUUGAUGUGUCUCUAUAGCUGAAUAGUAUGCUAAUCUUAACUUCAGAAAUAUCCUUUUUAAAUGAUACUCAAUUUGACCAUUGUUUAUCCAAUUCGAGAUUUCACUAAUUGUCCUACUAACAUGAUACAGAUUAAGUACAAGAGUUUUGAGAAAAUUGAAGAAGAAAAGAAGUGGUGGAACAUCCCAAUCAUUACAGAAUUUCUAAAGAAAAAUGGUUUUGAGUCUGCUUUGAAGACAAUUCUGGGUUCCGAGACUGUUCAAGCUCGACAAUUUGUACAGUUUGCGUUUGGACAGAUGAAGCUACUUAAUGAUGCAUAUAAUGAUUCAAAUAGCAGCAGCAGUCCUGUUGUGGAAUCAGAUGUAUUACCAGAGUCGCAGAAAUCGUCCAACUUGAAUGACUCAAGCAAGCCCCCAGAAUCAGAAAUCUCAAAUAAUUUGAAAGACACCAAAGUUGAUGGUAAAGUGGAGUUAAAUAGUGAUGGAAGGAAGUCACAUAACCGAUGAACAUGAUUCCCCUGGCACUAAGAUUUUCGAGAGCUCUCAAUCAGAUAAACAUUUCUGGAAGAAUUUUGCUGAUACUGUCAAUCAAAAUGUUGUUCAAAGACUUGGUCUCCCUGCUCCUGAGAAAAUAAAGUGGGAUAAUCUUGACUGGUUAAAUAAGAUUGGGGUACAAUCACGAAAAGAUGCAGAUGCAGGUUAUGUUGAAUCUGGUCUGGCAACUCCUGAUAAACAGGAAAAUGUUAAUGGUAGUGCAUCAACUGAACCACCUAUUCUUAACAACAUUCAGUCAUCACUUCCAGAUAUCAAGAAGGUGACACAGGACUUAUUGCGUCAAACUGAUUCCAUUUUGGGAGCAUUGAUGGUUCUAAAUUCUCAAUUCAACAAAGGAGCAGGCCUUUUCGGAAAAGGUGAUGCUAAAGAAGAUUCUUCAACUGGACUGGAAAAUGACAUUCUUGGAUAUCCCAUGAAUAAAGAUGGAAUAGUGUUGGAUGAGAAGAAAGCUGAGGAGAUGAAGUCUCUUUUCUCAACAGCAGAGACUGCCAUGGAAGCUUGGGCACUGCUAGCUACUUCAUUGGGACAUCCGACUUUCAUCAAAUCUGAAUUCGACAUAUUAUGCUUCUUAGAUAAUGAGUCAACUGACACAGAGGCAAGUUCAUAUAUUGCUGGCUAUGGGUUCUUAGUUUCUUAUCUAUCUUAGAUCUGAUUCAUUUGAUCCAAGGAAAGCUAUUCUGCUGAUAUUGGAUUCUGUAAGACUUGCAGGUAGCGCUCUGGCAUGAUUCAGCAAGGAAACGGUUAGUUGUUGCUUUCAGGGGAACAGAACAAGUAGGUUCUGGUGUUAAACACAUCUUUAAAACUUGUUGAUUUAGCUUACUUGUGGAUGACCGGUUGUUCUUUUAUCUAGACAAAAUGGAAGGAUCUUGUGACGGACUUUAUGCUAGUUCCUGCUGGGUAACAUCACAAAUCUGUACAAGCACAGGCUGGCUUUAGUUUUUUUUUCUCUCUCUACUUAGUUUUUCUGGUUUCUCUGUACUACUAAGUUGUUUUUCCUAUCACAGUAAACAGAUUCUUCCUCCGUUUCAAUUUGUUUGUCUUACUUUCCUUUUUAAUCUGUUUCGAAGAGAAUGUCUCUUUCCUUUUCUGAAAACUCUUUCAUUCUAACUUUCCACGACAUGUUUAAGACCACAAGAUUACAGGUCAUUUUGGUACCUUCUACAUAUCUUAAUUUAAGACCACAGUAUUCAAAAGUCUUCUUUACUUUCUUAAACUCCGUGCCAAGUCAAAACCAGACAAACAAAUCAAAAUGGAGGGAGUAAUUUUUCUCCUUCUCUAAGUUCUCUGAAAGUGUACUUUUAUUGAAAUACGACUGUUUACUAUGCUGAAAGAAACAUUUCCUUUUUCUUAGAGGAAUAGGAUUGGAAGAAAACCUUCCAUCCUACAUUAUUAAGUGUAGACUGCAAAUACCAUCAUAUCUAAAGGUUUUCCUGAAAAAAGUUUGAACUUCAAACAUAAUUUGAAACAACAAGAAAUAGCCAAAUGCUUUGGUAAUUUUGAAUAUGAAUUGUAUGUUCUUGCAUCUUCAUUAUUCGAAUGUUGGACAGAAACUUUAGAUGGUUAAGCAACCACUGUCCAUUUUAUUUCGUAUCCUGAGUUGUCUCCUACUCUGCAGGUUGAAUCCUGAAAGGAUAGGUGGGGACUUCAAGGAAGAAGUUCAUGUGGCACUGAAGUUCUUACUUUUCUAUCUCUAAGUGCCUGAAUUAUGAAUGUAUUCUAUUUAUAUUUAUAAUCCUUCUCAUUAUCAGAACCAGAGGUUAUUUUUGUAGGUUCACAGUGGUUUCCUAAGUGCAUAUGACUCAGUUAGGAUUAGGCUCAUCUCGCUUAUCAAAAAAGCAAUUGGCUACCAGUAAGUGGACUGUCAAACAAAACUGUACAACAUUGUUCCUCCUUUCGAAUGGCUCUUUCGUACGUUCAAGUAAAAGUCUUGGCAAACUGAAAGAGGGUCAGUCUCAAAGCAAAUGAAAUAUUUCUUCAAGUCUUUACUAAGUGGACUCGUGUCAUGAGCUUAGUGUUAUACUCCAACUCUUAAAACUUGUAACACGCUUUUGCUUUACUGAGAUGUCUAGACCUGCCUUAGUCUUUUUUCUUCUGUUUUUCCUUCUUUUCGUGUGGGUCUUGUUGCUGCUGCUGUACAUCUUAUUCUUUGCCUUCUUCGCGGUUUCUGCUUUCUUCUCUGUUUAUGAUGUACUUACUUCACCACUAAACAUUGAUGUCACAUCGCUUAUUACAAUUUUAAUGUAUUUUCCAGGGAUGAUGAUCUUGACACACCAAACAAAUGGCAUGUUUACGUGACUGGCCAUAGUCUUGGUGGUGCAUUGGCUACUCUUCUCGCUCUUGAACUAUCAUCAAGUCAACUAGCUAAGUAAGCUCCUCCUUUUCUCUGCUUAUAUCUGUAGCUUGUUUCCCAUCCAUUCUAUAUAAUUUACCAUUUACCAACAUCUCGCCAAUAGAGCAUGCAUGUGUGGUUUUCUGCUGUCUAAUUAACAUGUUUGUAGUUUUCUUUGAGAAUUUGAUGAUACUGAGUUGACCACAGAGCCAGGAGGCUUUUUAGAGAAGUUCAAAUGAUACGUCACCCACUUUUCUUUCUCAGCCACACUAUUUGUUCUAUACUUCUAUAGUGUUUUGUUAUUACGUUGUUAUGAUAUAUUAAUGCUUGACAGAUCAAUUAUGGAGAAUAUUCAGCAGCCUUAGAAAGAUCACUUGGGUGAAACCAAGAAACAUAGCACAACUCCUAAAUUGUUGGAUCAAUAUUGGUAAUACUACAAUUAAGGAGGAGAGAUGGAGGAUUGUCCCAGCUUGUAUAUGGUGGACAGUGUGGAAAGAAAGGAAUCAAAGAUGUUUUGAGGGCAAGAAGAACAAUGUGCAGAAUUUCAAGAUGAAUUGUAUAGCUCUUUAUUAUUUUUGGUGUAAACAGAAAGUCUUAGUACAGGCAGAAGAAACUUUUUUGAUGUUUUAGACUAUUUGUGACAAAAAGCACAGAUGGAGUCGGUCUAGUUUGUAAUACUUUUGGAAGAGGGGCUACUUUGAUGUAGUAUACCUGUGGAUAAAUAGAAGAAAAAGUUACCAUUCUCAAAAAAAAUAUAUCAUUAAUUCUUGGAGACUUGCAUAGAAUUCCUCAAAAUUGGAUCUUCUUUUAAGUUCCAUAUCACAUUAUUUCAUUGUUCUUACUGCUUUUAGUUCCAUGUUCCCUUUUUCCAACUGCUUUGAAAUGCCUGCCCUGAGCAGAGGGUCUAUGGGAAACAACCUCUAUCUCUACGAGGUAGGGAAAGGUUUGCGUACGCUCUACCCUCCUUAGACCCCACCUGUGGAAUGGGUAUGUAUUUUUAAGAGAAAAAGUUGUAUAAUUGUUGGUAGAACCAUAUCACAAAUGUACUUUUGAAGCUAGUCACGUAAAUAAACCUAACAAUAUUUGACUGCGUGACAUUUUGUACCCAAAACUAAUGUGCUACCAAGCUGCAGAACAUCCCUUCAAUUGUUCCAUG
rnacentral:lncRNA from 1 species